UGAAGCAUCUCCCUUCUCAACCUUAUUAUCCUGGGGGCGCGCCCUCAUGCGCUUCCUCAAGUGAUGAGUACUUCCGAGAGGGCGCGCCCUAGGGAGGGACGUGACCUCUUCAAGACUAGUGAGCUCCUUCCUGAGUAUGUUUGUCUUCACAAAAUAUCAUAUGAAGCAAUUAAUGCAUCAGACAUACCAGAGGGCGCGCCCUGUCAGAGGGAGGCGCGCAAUUCGUUCUCUGAUAGAAUACUGGUUGGAUAUGGCGUACCCCUUUAGGAGGGCGCGCCUUGUUGGAGGAAAGUGCGACUACUCCUCACGGAGAAGAGGUGUACUCCUCUUAAAGGUAACACCAUAUUACCUGUGAAUUUACACAUGUAGUAGUCUUAGGGAACCAAAUACUGGGGGAGUUUAGUAUUUACCUGAGGGCGCGCCCGGUCAGGGGAAGGCGCGCAUCCUUACGACUUUUCGAGCUAGGUUCCAUCUCAAUAGCUCGCCCUUCGUAACUUUCCCGUUCAUAUCAUCACAUGUGGUCAGGCCUUCAACAUGCGCCUCUCGCGAACCUCAAAUUACUUGCUCUGGGGAGGGCGCGCCCCUUCAGAAAACCGUUGAGGCUUCCAGGGAGGCGAUCUCCUUCUCGUAAAGACUCAAACCACAACAGACUUGUUAGCAAUAACAUGCGAAAGCAUUGUGAGAAUCUUACCCGGAGGUGCGCCUUCUUCGGAGGUGUUAGGGAAUUCGUUCCUCACGGUGGUAGUCGAGCACCACAUCACUUGGAGGCGUACCCUGUCCGGGGGAGGUGUACCCUGUCCGGGGGAGGUGUACUCUGUCCGGGGGAGGUGUACUCUGUCCGGGGGAGGCGUACCCUCUUCGUAGGUGUCAGGUCUCCGAAAAUCACAUCCUUCGCUGACUCCCCGGUCCAGAAAACCCUGAUCGCAAAUUAGGUUACCUCCUAGAAUUUCGUUGAUGAUCGUCCUCCUUCAAACUCCCGAUGGAGAUAUCGUCCUUUUUCUGAAAAAGUAGAUGAAGGUCUCCUCCUCUUUUGUGCUCUAGCCAUCGCCCUGCCGGAAAACGCUCCUCCUCUACGUGCGAAUCUCCGUCGUGUGACAUCUCUUCCUCCUAAGAUGAAGAUCUUGAAUAGCCCCUCCUUCUAGCGCCAAUUUGUUGAUAGAGGAAUUUGGUAAUCAACAAAGAUGAGGUUCAUGGCCGGAAUCAAGAUCCGUGACGGUGGUUUUGGUCGCCGGAGAGUGGUGGUUGUUUGUUUUAGGGGGUGGCUGAGAUUAGGGUUUUGAGUUGGUCUCACGUGCUCUCAACUCAUGAUCCCCCAAUGUGCCUACGUACCCCUAUAUUUAUAGGGGAUCAAGCCAUACGUAGUUCUAUUGAACCAGGAGUCCUAGUUUGAUCAGGACUAGGCCUCUUGGCGAUAAGGUCGGAGAUAGGCCGAAGGCCCAUCUUGGAGAAUCCUACUCCUGUUAGAAUUAGUCUUGAGUAUGACUACCUCAGACUCCUAAUCCAAAUAGAUCACGGAUUCAACGAUAUCUCCACUACGAGAGAUAGCAUCUACCACGACUCUUAUGGAGAAGUUAUCUGGGGGAGCCAUGACUAACCCCUCGAGGUGCAGGGACACGUCCUCACCUCUCGGUGAGGUCUUCAUCUUCAAACAAGGUAGACAAGGAGCCAAAUUACACGAUCGUCUCAAUCCCCCGAUGAGGGCUAACUCACCAGAAUACAGGAUCCAGACAUAUGAUCGGCCUUCGUGUUACCCCGGAGGGCCUUCAAGAGCCAUGAUCACCUCAAGCCCCCACACGAGGGUUAACUCGGCAGAUAGCAGGAUUGAGGAUUGUAGAUCAUGCCCGGAUGAGCCCGGGAACUAUCAGAUGAGCCUGAUAACUACCAAAUGAGCUUGGUAACUAGUCUUCAUAUCCCUCGGAAGGGUCGUCACGGAGACUCACUCAUCCUCUUUCUUUCAUCAUGUAUUUCAUAACUAUGCCUCUUCUGAGUCAAAGGACGCGCCCUGAUAGGGAGGACGUGUCCUUCCCAAUUCCCGUCUUCAUCCCUGUUUACUGGACAAGAGACCGCACCUCCCGGGCCAUGUCUGGGGAGGGCGCGUCCUUCCCUUAUCUUGUCUUCAAUCCUCCUUACUGGACAAGAGACCGCACCUCCCGGGCCAUGUCUGGGGAGGGCGCGUCCUCCCCUCCACAUGAUAUACAAAAACGGCUACAACACCUCGGAAGAGUCGUCGUAUCCCCCGGAGGGGUCGUCAUAUCCCCCCCGGAGGGGUAGGUCUUCCUAUCCCCGGAGGGACGGUCUUCGUCUCCCUCGGAAGGGUUGUCUCAGCGAAUGUACACUCUCCCAUAAGAAGAGCCUUCUUACAACACAUCAGACAGGUCCUUCUUUAACAUGAGGUCGCGCCCCCGGGGAGGCGAGGACACCCCGUUAAAGGCACGCCCUUGGUCUUCAUCUCAUUGUCAACUUCUUACAAGGGACGCGCCCCUCGGUCACCUCCGAAGAGGGCGUGCCCUCCUCCACAUAUUACAGGACGUGGGUGGACGGAGGUCGGUCGCGUCUCUCCAUCAACACUCUCAAGUAAGGCGUCCCUCCUUGUGACUCGGAGGACGCGUCCUUUUCAAGCAACACCAAGGGUCGGUCGCAUCCUCCCUUUAUAAGCAGGAGGACGCCUCCUCUUCACGCAACACCAAGGGUCGAUCGCAUCCUCCCCUUAUAAGCAGGAGGACGCGUCCUCUUCAUGGGACACGUGUGACCUGGAGGACACAUCCCUCCUUCCGACGCGGAGGACGCGUCCUCUUCAUUAAGAUACGCAACAUCGGCGGAUCAGUCGCGUCACGGAGGGUUGCGCCCUUCCGUUCAGACUAGUCUCUUCAAGGGUCGGUCGCGUCCUCCCUUUAUAAGCAGCAGGACGCGUCCUUCCUUUAUAUAGGACUCUUAGCCCAAUUCAUUUCUUACUUAGUUAAACUAAGUACAUACUUGGCCCAACAAGGACCUAGCCAUAUUUGGCUAUAAGAGGAUUCAAUAUUUUAUAAUAUUUAUAAGGAAGACACUAAGACACUGCUGGAGAUGCUCUUAUAUGUGUGUUCUUUUGUGCUCAAGUUAUCUAUGUUGUGCUUCGAGUUCAGUUGAUAGAAUCAUUGAAUUUCCCCCCUGUCUGUAUUUUGUUCUUUUGUUACUCAAUAUAGUGAUUGUCGGAUUUGUUUUUUCUUGUGUAUUUUUGUGAUUUGAUCCUUGAAUAUUUUUAUGAAUCUUCAUGGCCAAGUGUACUUUGUUGUGCUACGCCUAUUAGAUCACAUGGAAAAUCAUGGAUUUACACAUAUAUAUUUCAUUAAUAGGUCAAAAGAUAGCUGUACUAAUUCCUAAUUUAUAUCACAACAGUAUAUAUAUAAUCUGCUGAGCAUCUUGUAGUAUACUUGACGGCAGAAUAUUUUCUGCUUCUAUUGUUUUUGUUUGCUGCUAGAUGCCUAACAAUCACAACCUCUGCUUGUAAGUAUUUUAAUAUUUUGGUGCUUGAGAGGGAUUCUAUAGACCUCGCGAAUCCUCUAAAUGUAAUAUUUUCCUUGUUUCUAUGAAAAAUGUUAAAUUGACUGUUUGGAUUUUUAUGGGGAAUUUGGAAAUUUGAAAGCAUAUAUUUUACUUAUAUUGAUUUGUCACUAAUACUCACUAUUUAUUUGUGAAUUAUUGUGAAUAGCCUUCAGCAGUUUUGUUAAAAUUAUAUAUUCACCAGUUUGCCAAUACUAAUAUUACUAAAACAGAUGGUGAAUGAGUAAAUUUCGAUCAUUCAUUUUUUAGACAUAAUAAUUUAACUAGUGUAUUUGUACAAGGAGUAAACUAUAUAUAAAUGUAAAGAGUGUUUCUAAAUGAAGCGCUGAAAAGAUUUUCUGUACUCUGGUAACAUAAAAUUUAAAGAAGGGAGGUCGCGUUUUUAUCUAGCACUUGGGAAAGGGGCUUCUUAGUAAAUUAUUGUAUGAUAACCACUUUUUAUUUCUUCUCAAGAAAACCUUACUGUCAAAUUAACACAAACAAGUUAGUUCAUGAUCGAGACAGCUCAUCUAAUUAGUGGAAGAAGGUUUAGGCUCGAGAAUUUUUGAAUGUAUAAUUUGUAGAUACACCAGAAUCUAAAAGAAGUGAUUGUAUAAUCCGAUUAAUUUAGGAAAUAUGAAACCAAAAAUAUUAGAACUUUCAUUCAGGAGAAUGAGGAGCAGAUGGUAGAAAAUAGCAAAAGUUGUAACUACUCUUCAUGUAUAGGUAAAAUCAGUUAGUAACUUAACUGGCUAGUUGCAUACUCGAGAAUAUAGCCUGUAGGAGUUCUUUAAACACUGUUAUCAGCACUAAUUUUGGAACUGAUACUGAUUCUUAGUUCUCUUCUUCCUUUGUUUCCUUUAUCCCAUUCUUCUAAAUGGUUACUAAUCCGAUGCGAAAUUUGGUAUUCCAGCUAUUGUAAAUUUGUGCACAGCACAUAGAUGUUUGUGGUGAUGGAAGAUGUCUUAAAUACCCAUUAUUUUUGUUGCUCAUUCUGCAUUUUCACAACUUUUAAACUCCUUGUACAUUAUAGUGAAGGUACUGGACUGGGGGGAGGAUGGUCUUGCCACAGCUGCUGAAACUGCUGCUCUUCGGUCAUCAUUUCAGCAGGAGGUUGCCGUCUGGCAUAAACUUGAUCAUCCGAAUGUCACAAAGGUAAAUGUCUUCCAAUUUUCAUUAAUAUUUUAAGUAUGAGGUCAUCACAAUAUAUGUAUAUCUUGGAUUUUAGUUGUUUGUUUAAUUGUGUGGCACAGUAUGUCACUCUACAUGUAUUAAGCUGUUAAUUUUAUCAUGUAGUUAUAUUACAGCUUGAACUAUACAUAAGGGCUUAGACAUUAUUUGUUGUGUUAAUGUUGGAAUUUGGAACUGAUGUGUCUGCAAUCUGCAUGUUGCUUCAGAUCAUUAAUCACUUUAAAAAAUAAUUCUUGGUGGGUUAUUAUUAGUCCUUUCUUCUUCCUCAUCUAGAUAAAUUCUCCCUCCUUUUUUCUGUAUGUUGCUUUGACUUCUGCACACAUUUUCAAGUGCUUCGACCUCAUAGUUAAGUUAAACAAAUUAUUUUUAAAAUUUUCUUUUGUUAAGAAAGAUAUACUAUAAAGUAACAAUUAUUCUUAUAAUUAACAAAAAAAAGUAACUAAAAAUCAUAUUUUUAACGAUGUGGUCAAAGCAUUAAAAUAUGUGUGCAAAAAGUCAAAGCGACAUAAAAUUAAAACGGAGGGAGUAGCAGAUUUGCAAGUUGCUACUUGUAUGAUUAUAAACAUCAAAUCUUUACUCUUGAUUUAAUAAUAAUGGUUCAUUGUUUUUUGUAGUUCAUUGGUGCUUCAAUGGGAACAUCAAAUCUUAAGAUUCCUUCCAAGAACACUUCAAGUGAUGUACAUAACUCCCCUCCUUCUAGAGCUUGCUGUGUUGUGGUUGAGUACUUAACAGGAGGAACACUGAAGAAAUACUUAAUCAGGAACGCAAGAAAGAAACUUGCAUUCAAGAUUGUUGUUCAACUCGCUUUGGACCUCUCAAGAGGGUAGGUAAACAAAAAUUGUUGGAGUUGAGAUGGUAUGUGAGUAGUAUUUAUAUGUGUGUUUUCUGUUGGUAUCUUGCAGUUUAAAUUAUCUCCACUCCAAGAAGAUUGUGCAUCGUGAUGUUAAAACAGAAAAUAUGCUGCUAGAUAUCAAUAGAACCCUGAAGAUUGCUGAUUUUGGUGUUGCUCGGGUUGAAGCACAGAAUCCUAGAGAUAUGACUGGGGAAACCGGUACACUUGGUUACAUGGCCCCUGAGGUAAUUGCUUCUUGGUUUUUGUCUUAUAUAAUUUAAGUGUGAAAGCUAACUGUUUACCGUUACAUAUAUGUUUUAGGUCCUUGAUGGAAAGCCUUACAACAGAAAAUGUGAUGUCUACAGUUUUGGCAUAUGCUUAUGGGAAAUUUACUGCUGUGACAUGCCAUACCCAGAUCUUAGCUUUGCUGAAGUAUCUUCUGCAGUCGUUCGCCAGGUCUUUCUUUCUCUUAAGACAUGUAAUUGGUGUACAUGAAACUAUAUUUUUUUUUGUUUUGCCAAGUUGUAACUGAUUGAGAAAGUUUAAAGCUUUAUGAUCUAGUGGUCUCAACUCUCAAGUAUGGAUCAUGGGAUUCUUAAUAACUCUGAAACUAGUUAUGGUAAAUGACCAGAAAUGCCGGUACUCCACUUAGGGACAUGGCUAUCAUUUUCUGCUUCACUAUUCAAGUUCAAAGUCAGAUUUGAGAGAAUAUAUAAACAUAUAAUUAAUAUACACAUUGGACCUUUCUCUUAACUUUGUGAGAGGAAAUAUAAACAUAAUUUAUAAGAUAUUAGACCUUUCUCCCAACAAUGUAAGGUGUUCAAAAGGUUUUUGGAGAUGAUGUGCACUUUUACAUAUGGAGUGUUCUUAUGACACUCUUACUACGUGCACAUGUGAGUUUGUUUUCUGUUCUUGCUUGCAUCUACCGAGAAGCAUCCUUCAUAAACAACAUUCAAGACUUGCUAAUCUAGUCCUCUCCAAAUUGACAAGCUUAACUUUUAAUUUUUAUUUGUUUUGUCUUUUCCUCUUCAUGUAUGAAGAUUUAGGUUUAUGCUUACUGUAAUUCCUGUUAUGAAAGACAACAUGUUUCAACAUCUCGGUCGAAUAAACAGAAUAUCAGUUUGGUUUCUGUUAUUUAAAGCAUGAUUGUGCAACCACAUCCUCAUGUAUUCAUUUAUUUAUAUUUCUUUUGUUUUUUUAUAGAAUUUGCGACCAGACGUGCCAAGAUGUUGUCCUAGCCCAUUUGCAAGCAUCAUGCGGAAAUGUUGGGAUGCAAACCCAGAAAAACGUCCGGAAAUGGAUGAGGUUGUGAGGUUGUUAGAAACAAUAGAUACGAGCAAGGGAGGUGGCAUGAUACCUGAGGAUCAAGCCCGUGGUUGCUUCUGUUUCACAGCAGGUCGUGGCCCGUAAUGAUCCAAUCUUUACUCCUACAUUACGGCUUGUUGUGUCAAAGUAUCUUCUGUCUGAGUUCAUUGCUAGCCUGUAAUGGUACGUGAAAUGUUUUGUACUUUAGGAGAACAUUAGUGGAUAAAACACUUCAUUUUCUCUUAAAUCUAUAUAUCGGUAAAUAAGUUUUACCUUUGCCUAAUUGAUGACAUUUUAUAGUAAAAUUAAAAUCUCCUGUUAUUGAUAGAGUUUAUUAGAAUUUCCUGUUAUUGAUAGUGUGUUUUGUAUUUAACAGUAGACGAAAUCAUAAUGCCUUGCAGAGCAUUUGUAGGAAGCAACUCUUAUCGCAUGUUUUUCAAAAAGAGAUCUCAAAGUUUGUGAUAAUCAGUUAUUUUUAAUUUUUUGUUUCAUAUAGUGAAAUUGUGCAACUGUUUAUGAGGUCAGGGUCUCUGGUUUUUUUCCGGCAUACUUAUUAGUAAGAGCGGUAAAAGAUAUAUAGGGUCAUGUUGAUAUUAGAACCCUUAGUUUAAGAACUCUCAGAACUUAUACCUCUAAGGUAAGUUAACUGAGAUCUUAUGGAAGAAUUAGUCUUAUUUUGUAGUUUUGUAUUUUUCAACCGAACUCUGUAUCUUGUAUUGAAAUCAUGAGAUAUUUUAACAAUUGAAUUAAAAAAGUCUAUUCAAAAAUUUCGGGUCCUGCAACAACAUUUGCCUUUUUGUAGUAUUAAUUAGGGUUCUCAAGUAGCAUUCGCUUUAUGUGUAGUAUUAAUGUGUUAUUUACGUACGGUUCAGGUGUUAAAUAUAACAUUUUGUAGCAAAAUUCGAUUAUUCUUGUAGUAUUAAUGUGAUAUUUACGUAGAGUGAGUAAUUUUGCCUUAUUUCCGGUAUUAAUUAGGACUCUGCAGCUGAAUUGAACAUGCAAAGUGUCAGGAUUUAUAUAUUAUAUUUUGAAAUUUCUUUUAAGCACACACAACGAUGCAAAAAAACAUGUAUUUAGUUUUAGAUCACGAAAGUCUAUUUAAAAUUUAAAAUUUAGGCUUGUGCAGCAGAAUUUUAGUGGUUAAUAUAUUUUUAAAUUGGAUCUUGGUUAUACUUGGUGAGUAAUUAUCAUGAUGGCAAGUAUGUUUUAGCAGGAUCAAGUUUUAGUGUUUCUUUCUUGCCACCUCAACUCGUGCAGCGAGUAUGUUGUAACAGUUGUUGACAUGGAUUCGAGUUUUUUGUUUAUGUGAUUAUCGAUCUUUAAAUUUUGUCUAAAAAUCUGCUAUGAGUUGGAAUUUCGAAGUUUUAGUAUUUUUGUCUUGCCACCCUUUAAUUCGUGUAACAAGUACUCCCUCCGUCCUCUUUUACAUGUCCAUUUUGACUUUUGACCAGUCAAAUUGACAAUAUUUUGACUGAACUUUACAUGUAUUAGAUAAUUGAGAAUAGUAAUAAAAAUUAUACCAUUCGAAAGUGUAUUUAGUCUACUUUAAUAUGCAACUUUCAGAUUUUAAAAAUAAUAAGUAGAUAAUUUGUAAUGUUUAGUCAAAAAUUGGUCAAUUUGACUCCUCGAAAAGCAAAAUGAACAUGUAAAAGGGGACGGAGGGAUUACUAUAUUGUGGCAGUUGCUGACAUUAAUUCAAGCUCUUUAUUAUUUGACGGUCAAUCUAUAAAUUGUCUAAUAAUUUGCUACAAGUUGGAAGUCCAACUUCCUUCCGUCCCUUUGCUUAGAAAAAAAGAUGGGAAAAAAAAAAAAAAUUACUGGAUCAAAAAUAAUAAUAUGCUGUAUUUUUCCCUAGUUAUGGCUUAAAAAACACACAUUCACUGGAAGAUAAUGUUACAUGCCCCUUGUAGUUGUGAGGUCUUUGUCAUUUCUUACUUUCACUUUAGUUGGAUGCAAAUGCUUCAAGGAAUUGGUUCCAACAUUGUAGCUCAAUCCCACAUGUUACAUGUAUACUUGAGUGGGACAUCUGCUUUAGUUAUCGAAAGAAAAGAAUCGAUAACACAUGGUUAUCAAUGUUCUAAAAAUCUUGGAUUAAGUCUUAAAUAAAAAUUCAUCCAUUUGUUGAUUAUAUUCUGAUUUGAUUAAAAGACUUAGAUUUAUUUAAAAAAAAUAUGAUAAACUUGAAUUAACCGGUCAAUUGAUUAGUUCCGAUUCAAGCAUCGUUGAAAGAAAGCAUGAUGCCAAGUUAAGAAGAAGAGAAGGGGCAAAACAGGAGUUUAGUGGAGACAAGAUCCUAAUGCCUCUCAACAGUUGACAAAAUUAUGUUCCUCGGUGCUUGUGUAGUUGUGUUUGUAUUCCUUCUAUAUAUUCCAGGGGAAUCUGUUAUAGAUUUCUCAUUUCUCACCCGCUGUGCCCACUGAUAUAGUAUGCAGUGAAGCAUUCUUUUUCUUUUCUUUCUCAUAUCUGACUCCUAGUGACAUUUAUGUACAUUAUUUUUAUAAUAAUACUACUACUGGUUUAAGUUAUCACUUUAUCCUUUUUCAAAAACAACGUUAUAAAAAAAAACGUUAUUAUUAAAUCCUGAUUAUUUUUUUAUAAUAUUCUAUGCAUCAUCUGUAUGGCAAUGUCAGACUGUCAGGUACUUCGUAUUUUGCCUACUAUUGUAAUACUCUUUCCGUUUCAAUUUACAUGUCCACUUUUAAGAAAAUGUGUGAUUUUUUUAAAAUAGACAUCUAAUUUGAAACGGAGUGAGUAACUGAGUAACUGAUUAUGCGCGGUAACUUUUGAAAAGAAAUAGGGGCACUAAGAGCAUCUCCAAGGGUUGAGACAUAUUAGUUAAAAUAUCUAUGUGUCAUCCUAUGUGUCAUCUCAAUGGCACUUUUAGAUGAUAUGUAAAAAGAAAUACUUUCCAACCAUCAUCCUUUAGCAAAAAAAAAUAUAGAUAAUCAUGUUUGACUCAAUAAAUUUGUUGAACUUGUAAAGCUAUUAUGUAUAAUUUUAACUUAACAUAAUUAUACAUAACCCCAUUGGAGUGUUUUUCUCACCUGUUAGCAAAAAAGUUGUAUAAACAAUUUACAUAAUCAUUAUAGCUAACAAAUUUAGAAAUCGCCCUUGGAGAUGCUCUAAUAUUAACCCAUGUUCAAUGAUAAUUUAUUCUGAAAUUUUAAGUUCUAAUGACUUAUUCUGACGGUUUUCAAUAAUUUUAUAUUUUCGAAAAAUGCAGAUUAGUUAUUUAAUAGAUGUUUUAUAUUCUCAAUUUUGUACUAUUAUGUAAUAAAUAAAUAGUGUUUUAAUAUUCACACGCUAAAUUUAUUUUCCAUAACAAAUUUAGGGUUAAAUUAUUUUAAUAAUUAUUUAAAUUAAAUAUAUAAUAAUUUAAUAUAUAUAAAUAAUAUAAAAAUUGAAUACUUAAUUAACGACAAACAAAUUCACGUUUUCAGAUAUUCAGGAAUAAAUAUCAAAGCUUUAAAAUCGAGAAAGUGAAGAUACAAAUUUUAGAAUAAUAUAAAUAUAUGAAAAUCCUACAUUUUGUUAAAGUAAUCUAAAGAUAUUUCAUAAAUAAUAAAAAUACUACUCCCUCCAUUCCAAAAUAACAGUCGCUUUGACUUUGUGCACGUAGUUUAAGGUGUAAAAGAAAACAUGCUUCUAUACAUUAUUUUUGAAUUUUUCUUUUCCUGAAUAAAAGUUUAACAUCCCUAUUUUUAUCAAAAAAAGAAGAUUUGAAAAAUAAUAUUUAAGAAUAUAUUUUUUAUGCACCUCAAAAUACGUGCAAAAAAUCGAAGCGACUAUUAUUUUGGAACGGAGGGAGUAUUAAUUUGGACACAUUUAAUAAAUUGAAAUCCCUAAAAUAAAUAAAUAAAUAAAUUGAAAUCCCAGUCAUGUAUCAGCUAUGAGGGGUAUAAAUUGAAGCAGAGGGGUGUAGUUUGAGUUAGGUCAGCACCCAUUCCUAAAUUCACCAUACUCACUUCCUGCAAUUUAUUAGUCCCUUUUCUCUUCUAUUUUACUUGUUUCCAAUGGGCCUUGCCGACAACACUGAUACGUCGUCGUUUAUGACCGACUUCCUCAAAAACUCCGGCGGCGUCGCCGUCAUCGACGGCGGCCUUGCGACGGAGCUGGAGCGCCACGGAGCCGACCUGAAUGACCCUCUCUGGAGCGCCAAAUGUCUCCUCACUUCCCCUCACCUCGUUCGCUCGGUAAAUUAAUUACACAUACAUAUUUAAAUAUAUUUCAUAUACAAAUUGAUUUUAUUAUUAAUUUUGUUGAGCAUUCGAGCGAUUUGUAGUUAUAGUAUAUUAAUGUGCUGCAUUUUUUUAAUUUAGAGUAAACUAAUAGCAGUUAAUAAAAUACUAAUAAACUACUCCGUCCCAAGAAGAUACUUAUAAAUAUUACUUUUCAAAUUUUUUUAUUUUGUCAAAAAAUAUGAAAUAUUUUUAUACAAAACAAAAUUUAUUGAAAACUAUUAUUUAUAUAUUAUCUUCGGAAUAUAUUGAGAUUCAGAACAUAUUGAAAUGCCUGCAAAAAGAAUUUGUUCGUUCCUUUUGGUGUGGAGGGAGUUGUAUAAUGUAUAAUACUAGUUCACUUUAUAUUUUUUUUUAUUAUUUGGAUAAGGUGAUUAGUCUUGCAUGCAUGAUGCUAGUGGUGUCUGACGUGUUUUGAUUUCAGUUAAGAUGUUACUGUAGAUGCUUGUGUGUUUGAUUUGUUUUGGUUAUUGUCUUUAUGGUAAAAACAAGUGUAAGCUGUAAGGAUUUGAAGUAUGUACAAAUUUGGACCACCAUAUGGCUGUUUCUGACAAAUUUUAAAUCUGCCCUUUUCUAGUCAGAUUUGUAACUAGCUUUAAACUGUGUUUUAAAUUUCUUCAUUUGGGCAAACCCGUCUUACACCAUUAGAGAGGCCUUAUUGUAAUACAUAGCGGAGAAAGUUAAAGUCCCGGCUAGAAAAUGUUCGGAACUGCACUAUAUUUUUUAGCAGAAGGUAGACCCAUCCAAGUUAUGUUUUAUAGUAGAAGGUAUAAAAAAAUUGUGAUCUGGCCUGUUAAUAUUAUACUACCUACUAUCUGCACAUGAUGGCUACCUGUGGCUGGUGGCCUAUCUGUUUCUAUAAUAAUCAAACCUCAAACCCUCUGAAUUAUGAUGAACUACUGGUGUGUUUAGAGAUUUUCUUAUACAACAUGUGACAUAUAUACUGGACAGUAUGGACUAUGGAGGGACUUAUUUUUGUGUUAUGGGCACUUUUGCCUUAUUAAAUGUCUGUUGUAUCUUUUUGUCUUCUUUCCUGUUACCUAUAUUGUUCUAAUAAUGGUGCUUAAAGUUGUUAAGUAAAUCUUUUGGAUUGAGGAAGCUAUACUAGUCAGCCAUUUACCUUACAUGAUCGAGAUGGAUUAGUGCAGAGUCCCAGUCAGAAAGUAGCGUAGUUGGAAAACCAGAAAUAUGUAACCAGAUGUCAACAGCAUAACUAUCAACUAUGAGUAGUUUUAAAAUUAGGGCUAUUAGAAUGGUGCUAUUAAUUACUCCCUCCAUCCCAUUUUUCUUGUCAUCCUGUCAAAACCUAAUUGAAUAAUAAAUAAGCUAUAUGAUACCUUAAAUUUUUAUUAUCUUUUAGAAAAAUUAACAAAUGUAACAUGUAAAAUGCAAACCUAUGGAUUUUUAUACAUGAGCUCUUUAUAAUUUCAAUAGUUUUAAAAUGCAAAACUAUGGAUUUUUGAGAAUAUGCCCAUUAUAUAUGUUUUGGAUUUGUUUCCAUCGUUCUUGGAUUUGUAGCAUGUCUGUGCUCCACUGGCAACACAGUACUGAACAUAUUGUAUCCAUAUACUGGCCAAAGUUUUUGCUGUUACAUGAUUUGUGAUUCUUUUAAGGUUAAGUCAUUUGCUUGUUGAGCAGGUACAUCUUGAUUACCUUGAGGCUGGUGCUGAUAUCAUAAUUACAGCAUCUUAUCAGGUAAAUUAUCACUGCUUGUGUGGGAUAUGCUCUGUACCGUGUGUGUGGAACUCACAUUUAAGUUUACUUGCUUGUGGACAGGCAACACUCCAAGGUUUUCAGGCUAAAGGCUACUCUGAAUUAGAAAGUGAGGCCAUGCUUAAAAGAAGUGUGGAAGUUGCCUGUGAGGCAAGAGAAAUAUACUAUGAAAAAUGUCUUAAAUCUACUUCUAAAGAGACGGAGGAUGGGAAGAUUUUUAAACAUCGACCUAUUAUAGUUGCGGCAUCUGUAGGGAGCUACGGGGCUUAUUUAGCUGAUGGUUCUGAAUACAGGUAUCAAUUAACCUGAUAAGAUAAUCUAGGACCUCAGUUCCUUAACUUUUAAGAUGAACCAUAAUGUCAUAGUUUGUAUGUAGAAAUAAAUCAUACAUGAGAGGGAAUUUCUAUCUGCACCAUCUAUGUCAUUGUGAUCUAUCGAUCAAAUCCCAUGUUAUGUUAAUCUUGGCAUGUUCUUGUAAAGUGCUUGUAAUGUGGAUCAGAUAUUAUAAAAAAGGCUACAUAAGUCCAUCUGCGCUAUACACAAGGCAAACCACGUUGGUCAUUUCGCCAUCUAGCAGUCUUUCAGGGUGACCCUGAUGAUUUUUUACAAUGUAAAUCAACUACCGAGUGUAUAAUAAAUCAUAUAGCUUUUAAUACUGUCAUUUUCCUUUACUGGGGCAUGUAUAUUUCAGACCUUUUUAGUACUGUCACUCUCCUUCACCAGAGCAAGUGUAUUUCAGACUCUGUGUCUAGGUACUCACAGACUUUGUCAAUGGUUCUACGUAUUUACAGUGGGGACUAUGGUGAAGCUAUAGAUCUAGAGUAUCUGAAGAACUUCCAUUGCAGAAGGGUACAUAUUUUGGCAGAAGCUGGUGCGGAUCUGCUAGCAUUUGAAACAAUUCCAAAUAAGCUUGAAGCCCAGGUUUUCUUAAGCUAAUAACGGAUUAUAUUUGUGAUCCCUGUAGCUCUUUAAAAUGCCGAUAAUUUUAUUUUGUUGCAAUUGCUACACUUGUUUUGGACAAGUGUUUUUAGCAAUUCUGAAAUGUGGGCUAAGACACCAAGCAUUUUUGAUAAGUUCAAAAGAACUAAGUGCCCUAGGCCUGACACAAGAUAUUGAUAUUGAAUAGUUUACUGCUUGAUAGGCUUUUGCUCAGCUUCUCGAGGACAAAUGCAUAACUAUUCCUGCAUGGUUUGCCUUCAAUUCUAAAGAUGGUAUAAAUGUGGUCAGUGGUGAUUCCCUGACUGACUGUGCCACAGUCGCUGAUACAUGCAAAAAAGUUGUUGCGGUUGGGAUCAACUGCACACCUCCCAGAUUUAUCAGUGAUCUGAUUACAUCUAUCAAAAAGGUCGAACUUCUAAAAACUCUGAUCUUUUUUCUUCUUUUUAAUAUCUUUCUUCAUUAAACUUGCAACUCUUGUCUUACCACUUGUAGAGCUUUGGUGGUAAAGAGUUUUAGGUCUUAUAUGGGCUUGAAUCGUUAGUUGUGAGAUUGUAAGGGAGUAUGACAUGAUUCAUACUGGAAAGGGAGAUAUCAAUAGAAUUUUAGCCAAUUGCCCAAUUAUUGAGUUGUUUUUAUGUACCCCAAAUUAAUUUGGUUAGGUCAAGCAUGGUUUUAGGAGAAAGGAAUAAGCCGUCAAAUUACUGUGUAGAACCUUCCACUUCCGAAAGCUAAUAUUGUUUCAACCAAGGGCGGACCCAAGUUGUGCUAAGAGUACAUAAUUCUUAACCUUUUUUCCCCAUGCAAUAUUAAAUAGUUCCCUAUAUAUUGUAGUAUGCUGUGGGUCGAGUGAAGUGUUCAAAUGUAAUUUUGCAAAGCCAGUCAGUCAAGCAUUUGAUCCACCUUUUGUUUCUCCAUAGCUUAUCGAUCUUUGUCUUGUAUUUUUUUUAUUAGAUCUGCUUUCUUUUGUUAAUUUGCCUACAUCCCUUUAUUGCUAUUUAUUAGGCUCAUAUAAUCAGAUUUACUUCUUUUUUUACCAUUCCACAUGUGUUUGUAUAUUUCCAUUAUAUCAUUUCUUAUACCUGAACUAUUAUCAAUACGACUAGAUAGUACAUAAAAUUAUUAUAUUUUCAUAUUACAUAGGCUACAUAUUCUAGAAAUUUAUAUUAGUAGUAUUUUGCGGUAAACCUUCUAAUUUAAAAAUAUAAUAAAAUUAUAGCUGUUCAUUAAAUUUUAAAUUUUAACUUGUUAAAAGAACAAUCUGUUAGUUAUUUAGGAAGAUUGAGAGAGGUAAAUAUUAUGAGAAUCAUUUUUAAAAGCUAGAUAUAUCAUAUAUGUUUCAUUUCGUGUAACUUGAAGCACUUGCUAUUAUUGUACUUCUUGCAGUUUAUUCCUUCUUGGUAUUGUUUAUGCAUAUGGGGAUCUCAAGUCAACCACUAAACUUAAGCAGAGGAUAGAUAUCUUGCGAGUUCCUUAUUUUGCACUUGUUUCUUUUACUUUUGAUUGUUAAUUAACUGAAGGCUAUGUUUACUUGGAAGGACUAUAAUCCCUUCACUAUUUAUAACAUGUACUCAUAUUUUUAAUUUAACCCCUUACAUGGUCCUACGAACAAGUUUUGAUCACUUUGUAGUUCAUUUGGGGGCUUAUUUGAUAUCGGAGGAAUGAAGAUAAUAGUUUCGUCCAUUUAAUACGUUAGGAUUGUAAUAUAUAUAUAAAUGAGAGUUAAUAAAGGAGAAGUCCCGGGGAUCAUAAUCCCAUUAAAUAAACGUGCUCAAAGUUUCUUAAUAGUUGCUAUAGGGUAUAUUUCUCAUCUCAACUCUAUCUUUAUUGUAGGUGACAACAAAGCCGAUACUUAUAUAUCCAAACAGUGNAAAGUGGGUGGUCAGUUUUUCCCUACAGCUGAAGUAUGGUACUGAAUAAUAUUUGUGAAUUGCCAUGUUUUCUUUCUUUCUUUCUUUUCUCUAAUAAAAAAAUUGCAUAAGAUUUUUUCAACAAUAAAAGGCCCAAAAUAAUUAAAAAUUUAAAGUAUUUAACAAAAGAAGACAUCGCCAAAUUUGAGGUGCGCGGUAUAGCUAUUAUAUAUGAAAAUGGUUUAAUAUAAUAUGCGCCUAUUCUAAGCAGUUAUAAGGGAUGAACCAUUACAUCAUUGGUGUUUCUUUUUUUUGUUAUGCACUUAGUUUUCUGGAAAUUUGUGCCAUUUUUCUUCAUUAUUCGUCUACUAGUUAUAAUAAAAAAUUGUGCUGGCAAGUGUCUGAAUACAUCAAUCUUAUUAACGAUAAUGGAAUCUGGCAUUGUGCAGUGUUUCACUAUGUAACAGAACACUUUGCAAGUUUGAAUCAAAUAUGUUCUAAGGUAGUAUAUGCUGAGUGUUGACGGUGUCCUUUAUUGGCUAAAACUUGUCGCUGCUUAUCUUUUUGUAUCAUCUAUAUGCUCUACAUAUAUAAUCGUACUUGCAUCAUGACUUCACUUGCAGGGUUUAUAGCCUAAAUUUAUUAGAGUACAUGAUUCAGUUAUCUUUUAGCGGUGUUACAUGCAUCGUUAUUCUUUCACCGCCCCCUUUGUUGUAAAUAUAAAGUUUACGCAGUUUUAAGUUACCUCGGUGAACCAAUUGCAUCAGGGAUAAUUAUGUUUCCCUUGACAUACUGAAGCUGUUGACAUGUCAUUUUAGCCGUAAUUACUUUUUUAAGCAGCCUCUUAUUAUCACUUCUGCAUUUUGAUACACCUUAAUUUACGUCGGUUGUUAUGUUUCAACUCUUUGAUUGCAGCAAAAUACAGGAGUGCCAGAUGACGACUUUGUUUCAUACGUGAACAAAUGGUGUGAAAUAGGAGCUUCUCUUGUAGGAGGUUGCUGCAGAACUACACCCUACACUAUCAGAGGCAUUUAUAGGACUCUAGCUUCGAGAUCGGUCUCGUGAACGUGAUCAAGCAGGGAAAACAACCAAAAGUUGAUUAAGAGGUCUAGUUUCAGCUUAUAGUCUUAUACUGUUCAGAUCCCCUUUAUGGGAUUUAAAUUCUAUAUUUGGUUGCCAAGAAAUAUUUUUUUUUUCUCACCAAUUAAAUUGGGAGGAUAGAAGGUUGAUCCAAUAUUUGGAUGCAGAAUAUGAUAUGUUGAAUUGUUGAGGGUCUGAUAGUAUGUACUAUGUACUAUGAGAAAUUCAAAUUUUAGUAAUAUGAUCUUUUUUAUGUUUGUUCGAGUCGAUUAUUUUUGUAGAUGUCGUAUGAUUUUUUAUUAUUGAAUUAAUUCCUAUUUAAAACAUGAAAUCAUUACAUUGGUUGCAAAUAUAAAUAUUAAUACAUAUAGCUGACGUUCAAAUCACAAAUACAGUUUAUACAAGCGUCCUAACUAUGGUACCAAUGUGUUUCAUUUUGCAUUCUGGCCUUAAUAUUUUGGAAUAAAAGGCUCUGUAUCAACCUUGACACUUGUACUUGCAGAAGAGCUCAUAGAAGCUGAAGUAAGCUCCCAAAGCCCAUUCAGAUAAUUCACCGGAUAAUCAAUCUCUUCAUAGUGCUGUUCAUCACUAGCAAAUCUGUUUGACAAGUUAAUGUUCUCCAGCUCUGCUGCAACUUGUUUCAUCGUAGGCCUUUUUCUGCCGCUCAAGUUCAAGCAUCUAUACGCGAUGUUAGCAAAUGUUGUGAUCUCUUCUCUCGGACCCUCUUUGGCAACUUGGGGAUCAAUAAUGUCAAAUAUUCGGUUCUCUUUCAUUGUCUCUAUGAAAUGUGUUGCCAGACUUCGUCCCUCGUCUUGAGCUCUAGGCGCCAUACUUGGCUUUUGUCCUGUCAAGAGCUCAACAAGAACUACCCCGAAGCUAUAAACAUCACUUUUAUCCGUAUAUUGACUAGACUGGAAGUACUCUGGAUCCAAGUAACCAAAUGUACCUUGCACUCGUGUUGUCAGGUGAGUUUGAUCAAUAGCUAUCGACUUGGAAGUUCCAAAGUCUGCCAUUUUUGCUCUAUACUUUACAUCUAAAAGUAUAUUUGAAGACUUGAUAUCGCGAUGAUAUAUUGGAAUCGAUGCAGCUGAGUGUAGAUAGAAGAGAGCUCCUGCAAUUUCUAUAGCGACACGGACACGGAGAUCCCAUGUAAGUGGAAAGUCUUCACUGUAGUCAUGAAUGUACUCGAAAAGUGUUCCAUUCGGUAUGAACUCGUAAACCAGUAAAGGGACAUCAGUCUCCAAGCAGCAUCCAUGUAACUUUACUAUAUUUCGGUGGUUUAUUUUCGACAAAAGUACAACCUCGUUUAUAAAUUGUUCCUGCUUGCUUUCAUCUUCUAUCUUGGACUUCUUCACGGCUACUAUUCUUCCAUCUGUCAACAUUCCUUUAUAGACGGUUCCUUGUCCUCCUUGCCCGAGGAUUCGAUCCGUGAUAUAGUGGUCAGUUGCUGUCUCCAGCUCAUUCGAAGUGAACAGCUUUGUUGUGUCGACAUUACCUUCACUAGAGGACACUUGCUGAUGUAAUAGCAGACCACCGUUUCUCUCAAAAUUUUCAGCCUUGAGUUUUCGUGUUUUUCUUCGUUUCACUACUUUGCACAACCACCAUGUAGCUGCCGAUAUCAAUAGCACUCCUAGACCACCACAAGUAGCUGCAGUAGAGAUCAAUAUGAAAGAGAUCAGGAACGUAAAUGGAGUCAGAAACCGUUCUGUGACAUCUUAAGCACAUACCUAUUGCUAAGAUUAUGGGAGCUUUCUUCACGUUGGAUACAUCGAUGCACUUAUGUGCAAUAGCUUCAUACCCAUGAUUGCAUAAGCAAUUGUAGCUUCCUGGCGUAUUUUGACAGAUCUGCUCACAUCCGUUGGGUACUGCACACUCGUCGAUAUCUAUCAUGAAAAGAUUUGUCAGAUAUAUGUGAGUUGGACUGAGUGAAUGAGAUCAUGUAUCUACUUGCAGGAAAGCUCAUGGUCUGUUUGGAAACUUGGAUUUCAUUUGAAAUUCUGGAUUUGAUAAAAUUACAUGUUUGGAUACAAAAAAAAAAAAAAAAAUUGGAUUUGAAUUUCAUUUGUAAUCCAGGACAUUCAAAUGCUAGUAUAAAGCUGAGAAUUUGAAAUGACGUCUCAAAUCAUGUCAUUUGAAAUUCAAAAUUUGAAAUGAAAUACACGUUCCUGAACAUAAUCCAAAUUUAUUUUUAUAAAUAUAUUACCUUGACAUCCAUUGGGCAAAUAAGGAUUCCCUUCAUAGCCAUCCUUGCAAGAACACAAGCUUAGACUCCUGCACUCAGUAUUAUUUCCACACAAAUAGCUGUCUCCGGAGUCAUUGGUGUUUCUGACUGCGCGACAGUACUCUCCAAGUCUCCAAUCUAGAACAGCAGGAACAUGACCCAUAGUUUUGACUAUGUUGUUGUCUCCUAAGUUCCUGAACCAAAUCUGAUUUGCAAUGAAUGCAUACCUGCAACCUUUAUCAUCAAUACUACUAGUAUCAUUUAUGCUCAUUAAAGAUGUGGUGAAAUUCCACAGUUCUGGAGGAAUUAUAGACUGACAGCAGUUUAUGCCGUAACAACUGUUUUCUGAUCCACUAGUAUUGCAGAAUGACAUGCAUGGACAUUCGACCCUAAUGUGGUCAUUAGAGCAAGAUUGCCGCAUCCCAUUGCAGUGAACCGAUUUCGAGUUGCUGAGAAUGAAAAUGGGCGAAAUAUAGAUGUUACUCUCUCAGUUCGACUUCCAUUGGUAUCACAGUCUUCGAAAACUGUAUAGUUGACGUCAAGCGUGCCUGUGGUUACUGAUAUGUUGAGAACCUCAAGAACGUCGUGAUAAAGAUAAGGUCUUGGGGGAUUGCCAUGGCAAUCUAUCUCGAACCUCGGGUCAGCUGAACAAUUGGUUCCAAUUCCGAAUGGCUACGAAAUUGUAACAUUGCCACAUUUUUCUUGACAUUCAGGCUUUGCAACAGAACUUUCUUGAGCAGAAGCAUCUUGUGUUAACAGGGAUAGUAUUUUUAGGUGUAGCAGUAAUCGUAUAGCCAUCUUUGCCAUCCUCCUAUUCAUUUUUGAUAAAUGUAUAGCACAUCUAAAUUUGUUUAGGCUUUUGCCACAUUUGUAUGUAGGGAAAUUUCUAUGUUCUAUGAAGAAGUCAACUGUUAUAAUAAAAGGGGCAUUUGGAUGGUAGGUGAGAAUCAUAAUCCCGAAUGGGAAUGAGGAGUAUAAGAUAACAAUCUUUAAACAGUACAGAAGGAAUGAUUCACCCACCAAGUGGAAAUGAGAUUCCCUUUGCAUAAGGUAAAAUUGUUAACUCAAACCCGUCCGUUAACAGGGCUUAGAGAACCAUGAACAAAACACAACUUUAGUCGUGCUUCACGCUAUGUUAAAAAAUAGUAAGAUAAAUUUUCUGGGCAAUUAUCUUACAACACGCAGGAGAAUGUACUUUUCUCAAAAUGUAUAUUGUUUUUAUAUGCUUGCUUGUGUUAAUUGUUUUAUAAGUAGUGUGAUAACUUCAUUUAGUCUGACUUUGAUUAUUUAACAUGUUCAGUCAGACUCCAACUUGAUCUUGACAGCGAGAACUGAACGAUACCAACUUGUUUGAGAACUACUUAAAAAACAAAAACUCAUAAUUUAUAUCAGAAAACUCAUGUCAACUUGAUUCUUACAAGUUCCAAAAGAUUUGUAAGCAAAUGACUCAUGUCUUUGUUAAAAUUAUCCGACUCACAAUUAUUAUGUUGAUCGACUACAUGCUUAACUGUUUGACGACAGAAUUAUCAGAGAUUUUAGUUUCUUAUUAUGUAAAGUAAAAUUGUAAGAUUCGUUUCUCAGCAGUUAAUUACAUAACCUGAAGAGUGAUGGCUGAAGCCUUUGUUUUGCCCGGACAGUCAUUUAUAAACAGAAUGUGUACAGAAACCAACUUCAUGAAUCAUGAGAUGCCAUUUUGUUAGUCUGCAAGAUCAUACCUGAAGAUGCAGUUUGAAAUGAACAAAAGGGCUAAACAACAGUAGCAAGUCCAAUGCUAGAUGCUAUAUAUAUAUUGCUAUUGCUAUAAUAUAGCACCAAAAAGUGUUUUUUGGUGCUAAAAUAAAACUUGCACUCCAAGGCUAAGUUUUAUAACUAGUUUCAAAUUUAACCAACUCAUUAACUUUUACCUAACUUCUAUAUAGAACCAACUCAUUAACUUUUACCCAACUCAUUAACUCAUUAACUAGUUUCCAAUUUCUAGUUAUUGAUGAUGUGGCAACAUGGAUGGAUCCAUCUUUGGUUUCAAAUAUAGAACUAAGGAUGCAUCUAUGCAUGGAUGCAUCCAAAUAUAGCACCCCUUUGGAGUUGAGUUUUUUUACUUUUGAUACUAUAAUAUAGCAAUAGAACCAAGUAUAGCAUUGCAUUGGAGUUGCUCUAAGGCUCUGAGCUUCACUUUGGUUUCAAAUAUAGAACUAAGGAUGCAUCUAUGCAUGGAUGCAUCCAAAUAUAGCACCCCUUUGGAGUUGAGUUUUUUUACUUUUGAUACUAUAAUAUAGCAAUAGAACCAAGUAUAGCAUUGCAUUGGAGUUGCUCUAAGGCUCUGAGCUUCAUUUUUUGACAAAUAUGGCUUAUAGCCUUACAAAUGAGUAUCUGUUCUAAGAUAUUCUCGAGAUGAGCCAGGGUCGAACCCAAGACCUGGGACGACAGAGGAUAAGCCCUUAACCACUAGGCUAUCCAACCGUGCUCAGGCUCUGAGCUUCAUGAAGAAGAUGAGAUUGAAAAUUUUCUCUACGAGUUGAAGAGAGAGCCAAGGAUAUUAUUGUUAUUAUUAUUCUAUUAGAAAUGAAAUAUUAAUAAUUGUAUUGCUCCCAAUUUUAUCCGUCGGUCAAUAUUAUUCAACCGGUAUGCUUAAUAUAUAACAAUUUCCUUGAUAUAUAAUGUGUUUUGUUAAAAUUUUUUAUUAUCAAUUAAGUCAAGAUAUUUAAAAAUUCCGUCAGUAUAAUCAGUUUCUAUUUCUGUUAAAAUUACAAUAUAAAUGAUAAAAUUACAAACGUUAUAAAUAACUCGUGCAUAGCACAUGUUAGAGCAUCUCCAAUGGACCUGUAAGAUAUUAUGUAAAAUUUAUUGAACCUGUAAGACAUUUUGCUUCGAUGGUAUUAACUAUAUUGGUUGGUGAUAAUUUAAAAAUAGUAUGUUAUUAAUAUUUUGGAUUGUUAUAAAUAGAAUAUAUCAUUUUAAUACGGUAAUAAGUGAUGUGUAAUUUUCCAACAGAUUUUCUUACAGACCUGUAGCGGAUCGACAAAUAUAAUCAUCCGUAGGAGGUUGGCUAUAAUUAUAGAUAACAGGUGGGAAUAGUUGAAGCGUAAAUUUUUGAAGCCAUUGGUUAUAAUUAUUAUUUUUGGUAUGACAACUAGGAUUUUAGCUAAGGGGUCUUCAUGGUUGGAGAUGCUCUAAGCUAGCAGGUUAUUAAAAGUGUUUGGAUAAUUUAAUUGAUAAGUCAACUGAGUAGUUUUUUUUGAGUAAAAGUCAACUGAGUAGUUAGUAAUUUAAAUUUAUAAAUUCAUAAUAAAUAAAAUAAUGGAUAUAAAAUAAAUUCUAUUAAUAAAUAAAUUUUAUUAUACAUUAAAAAUUUAAAAUUUUCAUAAUGUAAUAAAUAUAAAUCAUUUAAAAAACGAAAAAAAUAAUAUUUAUCACUUACAGCUUUUAGUUUCAAAAACGUAAAAGAAGCACCUCUCUACUUUUUUUUUUCCCAAAAAUGUCCAGAAAAUAAAAAUAAUUUAAAAUACUAAAAAGAAGCUUAUCGAAGUGUAUCACUUUCCUAAUAAAAAUACUUUCCUAUUGGCUAAAGCGGCAAACCCUAAUUGAAAAAUAAGCUGCAUUACACAAGCAGCAGGCAAGAAGUCUGCAGACACUCUCAAGACCUCAAUCAGGUAUGUAUGUAUGUAACAACGUAUCUAUUGUAUUUGUUUCCCCCAUCAAUGGAUAUUCAACAGUCCUGUAAUUUGUGAAAUACUAAAUUCAAAUUAUUUGAUUUUGCUAAUACAAAAUAGUUCGGUUUCUAUGUAUGAAUCCUUAAUUAAGAAAUAUUGUAUGUUUUUCAGCAUCUACUAAUUGUCAAGCUAGUAAUGAAUAAUGACAUUAAUGUAGCGAUGAAAUAUUUGUAAAAUUGUAACUAGUAAUGAGUAAAAUUGGAGCUAGUAGUGAGUAAUCACAGUAAUAUAGAGAUGAGAUAUUCGUAAAAUUGUAACUAGUAAUGAGUAAAAUUGUAGCUAGUAGGGAGUAGUGGCGGUGCCACACUGGGGCCUGGGGGGACACGUGCCCCCACAGGUUUCCCUUUGUGGGCCCCACAUAUUAGUAAUACUCGUAUGUUUUGUCAUUUGUGUCCCGGAUAAAUUAUUAAAUCUCUUCAUGAAAUCAUCUCAACUUCAGUCUAUUUCAGUUCUAGCAGUAGUUUGAGCAUGGUCAUGCUUCUCUAGGAUUUGUAUGUUUAAAUCAGUUGUGGUAGUAGGUUGGUUUUUAAAUAAGAUUUGAAGGCUAGGAUGUUUAGCCAGGUCUGUUUGUUCCAGUUUGUAGUAGUUGCUGUUCGGAUUUGUAAAACUAAUUAAGUAACAUAUUUUGAGAAUAAUCGAAAAAUUAAAAGUGCCCCCCUUGAAUAUUUUGUCUGGCUCCGCCACUGGUAGGGAGUAAUGACAGUAAUAUAGAGAUGAAACAUUCGUAGAAUUGUAAACUAGUUAUGAGUAAAAUUGUAGCUAGUAGUGACUAGUGAGUAAUUACAGUAAUAUAGAGAUGAAAUAUUCAUAAAAUUGUAAACUAGUUAUGACUUAUGAGUAAAAUUGUAGCUAGUAGGGAGUAAUGACAGUAAUAAAGGGAUGAAAAUCCGUAAAAUUGUAGUAGUGGGAAGGGAGGUAAUGUUGAGUUGAUCUGAUAGGUACACAUGCUUAUAAACAUAGAUAUAUUCUCUGUGUGUAAAGCUCACUUGAAGGCAUUUUAUCUUGUAAGGGAUAUCAAUAGGGAGAGUUUUUAGUAUCUGUAUAAGCAUGCUACAUAAGCUGCAUUAUAUUUGUGAUAUUAAAUCACAAGUAUUGUUACGUGUACAUGGAGCUUUGAGUCAUUUUAAUUUUUUUGGCGAUGAUGCAGUUUGGUCGUAUGAUCAGAUCAAUUUUGUUAGCAGGGAAAAUUAUAUGGAGAUCAUGACCGAUAUAAACGAAGACUCCCUAAUUCUGGUGAAGCAAGGAGCUGAAGCUGUAAGUUAGACUCGAACUAUUGACUUUCUCUGUUUUGUUUUAGUUGCUACCUAUGUGGAAGUAUGUCUCUUUUCUCUUGUAUAAGCCUUAUUAAUUAGGCACUAGGAAGCACGAGUGCGGGUGCGGGAGUGCGGGUGCGCGGUACGGGGAUACGGGAAUUCGUCAAAUUCCAAAAUAUGGGGAUACGGAUACGGGGGGAUACGGCAAAUAUUAAAAUAAUAAAAAUAUUAUUUAUAUAUAUAUAAAUAAUACAUAAGAUGCAUUUAAGUAGAACAAAAUAGUGGAAUAACUAAAUUAAUCAUCCUUAAGUCUUGAUAACUAAAACACAUAAAUAACUAGUGCAAUUUAAGUGAUUCAAUCGAGCAUAAUCAUGGCUUCCAUCUCCGGCUCGUCAAGAGAAAGACUAGCAAUCUCGAGCUCUUCGGCACCAUCAAGUGGAUCAAAACGAUCACCUCCUAUAUCCCACAACUUGGUCUCUCCCUUAAUGUAUUGAUCACUCUUUCUAGAAAGGAGCCGGAGAUUGGUGUGGACAUGAACUUGUAGUUGUAGCCGAGUUUGACAUGAACUCCAUUACUGAAUAAGAUUACAAGCAAUUAAUAUUAAUACAACCAACCGAAUCAAAUCAAGCCGUAUAACAGUUCCUAAAUUAUUGCAAUUUACCAUUUAUAACCAACCAAAUCAAAUCUUCCAUAUAUAACAAACCAAAUCUUUUAAAAUUCAAAAAUCAAAACGUAUCAGAGAUAUAUACUAAUACCAGUAUACCACAUAACCCCAAAUCACCAAUUAAUCAAUCAUACCAUACCAGAGAUAUAAAUAUACACACACACGAGCAAUUAUAUAUACAUACACACGAGUAGAUAUACAAAAACACACUUACCAAACGAAAUAGUUGAGCUGGAGAUCUUGAUUUGAUUGAAGAUUGAUGAUUGAAGUUGAGCUGGAGUCGAUUUGAUUGAAGAUCGAUGAUUGAAGUAUCGCUGGAGUCGCCGCCUCUGUUCUCUCUCGUACAAAAACCUAAUUUUGACCCAGACCCGUCUUUUCUUUUCAUUUGACCAGGUUAUUUUAAGUUUUUAUUUUUAAAAAAAAGUUGUUCAAAAUUACAAUUCGUGCCAUUCCCGCACCCCCAUUCCCGCACCCCCGCGUAUCCCCCUCGCUGCCUCCACCGAUACGCCACGUGGCGUAUCCCGCCGCACUCCGCCGCACCCCCGCACCCCCGCGUGUCCCAUUCGCAGUUCUUCUCCUCUUUGGAGUAUCCCUGCUUUCUAGAUUAGGCAUUAUCUAGUAUUAAAAAAACGACAAAUAGUGUACUUCCAACUACAAAGCCAUACAUGAUCAUUUGACUUAUAAAUUUUAACAUAAAGUUCUCUUAUUACUUCCCAGAGAGUUUUUGAGUCGCAAUUUGUUGGGCGGAGAUCCAUUGUGAAAGAACGGUUUUCAAAGAAGUAUAGGCAUCCAACUCUUGAUUCCAAGCUGACACAGAAACGAUUGAAUGCGGUUAGUUAAAUAAAUCAGUUUUACACUAGCAAUCUUUUCUGAUGUAACUAAUAGUUUAGUUGCUUUCUAUGCUUUAAUUGAUCAGGAGGCUAGGUGCAUAGCAAAAGCUAGGCGACUUGGAGUUCCUACUCCUGUUCUUUAUGCAGUGGACCCUGUUUUGAAAACCUUGACAUUUGAAUAUGUGGAGGGUCCCUCUGUUAAAGAUGUCUUUCUCGAAUUUGGGAUACAUGGCGUCAUUGAAGAGAAAAUGGAUGAUAUAGCAAUGCAGAUUGGUCAUGCCAUUGGAAAGCUUCAUGAUGGUGGCCUUGCUCAUGGUGAUUUGACCACAUCAAACAUGUUAAUCCGUAGUAGUACCAAUCAACUGGUGGGUCCUUUAUGUGCAAUUGCAUUCUGUCAAAUUCUUUUAGUUAUCUGUAUUUUCAUGUCAUUUUUCGUUCUUAAGAAUGGGGUAGAGUGGGAAUAGGAUGACUUCGGUUAAAGGGCAGGUGUUUGUUUAGGUUGGCUUAUCCCCUUGAUUGUUUGCUGCUGAUUUUCUUGUCUGUUCUAGAGGCGAGUUUCUUAUAUAUUAAAGCUAGUUUGUAGUCUUUAUUCAGGUUCUUAUUGACUUUGGUCUGAGCUUUACGUCAGCACUUCCUGAAGAUAGAGCCGUAGAUCUGUAUGUACUUGAGCGAGCAUUGCUAUCAAUGCAUUCUUCAUGUGGAAAUGUGGUAAGCCUGCUCUCAACUUUGCUGAAUUCAAUGAAGAAAAGGAGUUCAAAAAACAGCAAGUUGACUGAUGUUUUGUUAUCUAAACUUCAAGUGAAUCCAUCUUUAUACUUCAAUGUGACCGGUUAGAGUUUAAAUUGGAAGUUCUCUUUUAUAAUUUUAAAUUGAAGCAUGGAUCUGUUGAGUAUAAAAUAGGUAAAACAAUAGUGUUCAUCAUAAAGCCUAAAUUGUUAAGAUUAUGAUAUGCUGAAAUUGGUAUUCAUCUGAAUGCACACUUUUGUGAAGAAAUAUUGCCUCUUUUUUACAGCAGUUGUGCAAUGACAUUUAAACAGGAGAAUAUGUUAAUGAUCUUAUUGUGGUCUUUACAUUUGAUUAGAUGGAGAAAAUACUCGCUGCGUAUAGGAAAUCAUCAAGGCAAUGGUGCUCAACAUUAAAUAAGCUUGGUGAAGGUAUUGUCUUCAGACCUUAAGGUUAUUUUCAAGUUUGAUUAUAUAUCAUGUAUUGUUUAAAUCCACAUUGUAUAACCGAAUUCUUGUUUUCAGUGAGACAAAGGGGUAGGAAGAGAACGAUGAUUGGUUAAGGGAUUGCUUUGUUAAUCACCUCGGCAUUAUGUACUGGCUACUGCAAGCUGACAGAAUGUUAUUCUUAUUUACAGUUAAAUUUCUUGUAGCUCUCUUUAUGUAUACUUAUCUAUUGACCUCGAUUCUCCAUUUUUUUUAAACGCGGGGACUUGGUAGCAUCCUUCUUGGAAUCAACUAUGCAUUUGUAUACUCAAACUUUCUUCAUAAGUGGAUGUAUGUUAGAAAUGUUCCUUUGUGUUCUGAAAUCUGAAUCAUCAUUGUAGAACCUUGUUGCAGUUGGUUUAUUCUAGGGAUGGCAAUCGGGUCGGAUCGGGUCGGGUUUCAUGAAAUCCAUAUCCAAUCCGUUAUAUUUCGGAUCGGAUUCGGGUUUCAACCGGAUAUCUUAAAAAAAAAUUAAAAAUUAUAAACCUGUCUGAACUAUGAUAAUUAAGUAUUUUUUUUCAAAAUUAAGAUUAUUGGAUUGGAUUCUAUUGGUUUAAAUUAGAAUAAUAUAAACUUAAACCAUAUUAAUUUUCAUUAUUACCAAUAUACAAUAUAUUUUAUACAAUAUAUUAUUAAUGAAGUAUUUGUCUUAAAUAGAAACCCUUAUUCCUUUAACCUAGUCUAUUGAUAUUGAGAGUAUUAUAUUACAUUCAUCCAAAUAAUUAAAAAUAAAUAUGUUAUAUAUACAGACACAGAGAGGUCAUAUCCAUAUCCAAAUCCAAAAAAUUUCGGGUACAAAAAUCAAAUCCAUAUCCAAAUCCAAAUCCAAAAAUUCGGGUUCGGUAUAUCCAAAAAUUCGGGUUUCGGAUCGGGUAUCCGUCGGAUCGGAUUAUUUUGCCAUCCCUAGUUUAUUCAGUAUAAAAUAAGUACUUUAAUUUUAAUAUUUGGGAAUUUUAGUUGUUUUUUUUUUUGCUUCUAAUCUUGUAUAUGCAACGAAACUACAGAACGUGAUGCAAAAUGUUUGAACGAAUAUUAUUCUCAGGAGCCUCGGUUCAUCCAGAUACAUGAAGCAAACUGUUGAAUAUUAUCAAUUGAAAUAAACAAAGCAGCUCUAUGUUUCUGCAAAAAAGAUGUUUUAUGACUUGUUUCAUCAUUGAGAUUGUGCCAAAUCAUUACCCUAUACGUGAAUGUUCCGACUUUUUUUAUGCCGGAUAUUCUUGAUCCUAAAUUUUUGUUUGUUUUAGAAUUUCUCUUAUCCGAAAACUUUUCCCCCCGUCGGUCGGAUAUAUAUUAUAAACAUUCUAUAGAAUUUUUGUUUUUACAAAAUAAAAUUUCAAUAGGUCAUUCUUAUAUCAUUCUCGAGAUUUAACUCUCUCGAUUAUGUUAUAAAUCGGAUUUUCAGAUUCAUAUAUGUUCAUUGUGUUAUAAUCUGAAUCAAAUUCACGUGUUAUGAAUCGAAUUGAAUUCGUGUUGUGUUAGUGUCGAUUAUUAUUCCUCAUAAUUAUCUUCUUCCGCUCAAUAACUCUCUGAAUUUUUGAAUAAUUCUCACAACCCCCAGUAAUCUCCCGCCAAAUUGUUUGCCUCUGAUCAUCCCCAUGGAAACCACCCUGAUCAACACCCAUGUGAAGCUCCUAGCCUCCGACUUCAACGCCCUCACUCCCCUCCCAUCCGACCCCUCCCUCUUCUCUCGCUCCGCCACUCCCUCCCCUCUCUCGCGGGCCGAAACAGUGGGCACAAUCACCUCCCGGGACCUCAAGCCCGGCAAAUUUCUCCGCUUCACUAUUGACGACGGCACUGGCUGCAUUCCCUGCAUUCUCUGGCUCAAUCACUCCAAUUCCCCCUAUUUUACGCGUCGUAGCCCCACAGAUGUUCGACAGAUUGCUCAGCUGGCCGCUUCUUUGGCUUCUCUAGUCCAGGUUGGAGUUGUUGCCCGUGUCCGUGGAAGGAUUAGUGGUUAUCGAGGGGUUGUUCAGAUCACGGUUGCUGAUGUUGGUGUCGAGAGGGAUCCUAAUGCGGAGAUUUUGCAUUGGUUGCAGUGUGUUAAGUUAGCGUGGAAAUGCUACAAUGUUUCGCCUUGUUCUAGGUAAAUUGCGUAUUGUUUUUUAUGAAUCAAGUAAAGAUUGAUAUUUGCAUAUGAACGAGAAAUUGGAAUAGUUUAUUGUAUUGCAGCCGGUGAUUUGUAGUACUGUGACAUACGAUCAGUAAAUUAAUGGAAUUGGUAUUGGAUAAUAUUUAGAUUGUGAAUUGUCUAAUAAUUGGCGACAAUUUAUGGCACUUAAAUUUGGAUGUGUAUUACUAAGGCUUGAGUUGACCAUUGUAGCAUUGUUGAUUAUUUAAGAUGGUGUGGUGGGGCUGUAUCGAGGGAUUGCACACACAAAAGAGAACACGAGAAAAAUGCACAAUUUGAGAAAGUUAUGGCAUAGCUGCCAUGAAUGAUUGAAUAUGAUGAGCUACCUAAUUGGUUAUGUUAAUGUCAAAGUAUAGUUUGUUAGAUACUGAUAAUUUUUCUGAGUGGUUAAGUUAAGACUUGGUCACAAACAAGACUAGUAUAGAUACUUGUAAUCUUUCUUCUUUUCCAGUGAAAGAAUGACAAACAAUUCUCAUUGGAUUUAAUAGUUAAUCUUGUGAACUCAACAGUAGCUGUUUUAAAUACUUUUAUUGCUCUAAGUAGAUGAUCCAGAGAACAUUGAGAUAAACAAGGACCUAAUAUGUUGAAUAUGGUAUGCACCUUGAAAAAAGAAUAGGCAAUUUUUUUAUAAUUUACAUAUUUAACUGAACAAGUCGGAAAGAGAGGUAAUACCAGUAUAUAAUGGAAUUGAAGCUGUUGUGAAACGACAGAGCUGUGUAGGUUGUGGGAACAAGGAGGCAAGGAGCUGCUCUUUAUGUCUUUGCUAAAGACCAUGGUAGCCUGAGAAAAUAGGUGAGUUAUUUCGACAGAAGGGGGCAACAUUACUUUAAUGUGUAGCCUGAGAAAAACAGUUUCUGCAUUUUAAGUAAUAUUGGUCGAGUUUUAACCAUAAUAGGAAUAUUGAUUUAUCAUACAAGUUUGUGUUGGCCAUGUAUCCUUGUGUUCUGUAUCUUUCAGGACUGUGUAAAAUCCAUACUGUAGCCACUAGCCAGUUCUAAUUCAUAGAAUAUCGACAACCGACAAUGGGAUAUGUGGUAAAGGUCUGUCCAGAAACACAAACAGUUUAUCUAACGAACCCUGGAAAAUGUUGUGGAACUGAAUGUUCCUAGUACUGGACAUCAGGUAAGUCAUGUAGCUAAAUCUAUAUUAUUAGCACUGAACAUUAAAAUUGAUAAGUUUGAUCCAUAGUUAUUAUAAAGCCAUGGCCUAGGUCGAGCUUAAAUCUCUUGUAGUGGUAAAGUUGUGUUUCUAGUUAAAUAUUGUGAGGUAGUUAGAAUAUUGUUGCUGCAUUGGGCUUAUAUUAAUGGAUCAUUGAUGUAUAUAUGUCUACCUUUUUCACUAGCUCAUGAGUGGUUGGACACUAUUCUGGUUCAUUCGAAAUCAACUGAAUUUGCAGCACCGGAUGCUGACAAAUGAGGCACAUAAUCUGGCUGCAUAUUGCCUCGAGUUAAUCAAUACAAUAACAUUUACCGUGUACAUUCUACCAUUCUGGUAUCCGUAAAAAUUCUCAGUUUGUUUUUGCAAUUAUAAGUAUCAUGGAAUCAUGGAGCAUUAUUCUUGUGUGCUUCAUUUGUUACCCUUAGUUUGGAUGUGGUGCCUUCUUUGCUAUGAAUCAUACAGGUGAUGAUGCAAUCACUUCCACACAAGAACCUGACCAUAAUCAAUAAGCACACAUAUGAGUUACAUGUGCUGCCUAGUACUGACUAGAGUAGUAUUUUACUAAUGUACUUGUCUGUGUUUACUGAGAUCUGCAUGACAUGUAUCUUGGACAUAUUUACCUCUAAAGCUUAUGGCAAGAACUUUUUUCCUUUCUAGAAACAAAAGGAAUACUAUAUUAUACAAGUCCGUGGGUGGACUUUUUAUUACUGGUGGGUAAACAACAUAGUUCAAUUGUUUCACUAGUUUGCCCUUCAGACUCUCUGCUGUACCAGGUACAUAGUUAGCCUAUCCCACUAUUACUAUUUCCUUCCUAUAUUUCUAGUAUAUCUUUUCUUUUUCCUGUAUUGACACCAUUGUACUAAAAGUCGGUGAUUAAUCACGAUUAAUAUCUGUCUCGUAGAUCGCCGAACUGAUUAAAUCUUGUCCUGUGUCUUCGCCAAUUAAGUCUGAUUACCGUUUUUUACAACACUAAUCGAUAGAAAUCUUCUAGAAUACUAAAAAUAGGGCGCCUACAGAGACAAACUAUUUACUUCCGGUAAGGUCUCCUUACAUUUCAUCUCGAUUAUUACUGCAAGUGGGUGAUCUGGAUUGGAAGAUACUUGUGGUAGAUCGGAGAAAAAACUAAAUAGUGACAGAAGAGUAGCAAAAUAAAUGAGAAGGGGAGAGUUAUUAAUGAGAUGAUGGGGAAACGUGCAUGGGAAGUGAUAUGAGGAGCAGAGACUGAGUUACAGAAAAAUGUAAGAGGGCAAGAAAGAAAGACAUUGAUAUGAUCUUUGCCACUGUCAACCAUCUUAAAUUGCAAUGAACCUCAGAAAUUAAAUAUAGGGUUUUAUGGUAAAUUUUGCAACCCCCGUGAAAAAGCUUCCCAUCAAUGUAAUCAAGGUCUAUUCAUCUAUUUAUUCAUUGCUUGCUUCUUACUUGUAUCUCUGUUUCCUUUUACCAAGUAAAAUUAUUUGUAUUUAAUUUAUAUAUACACCAAAAUAGAUAGCAGAUUAAUAAUGGCCCAAAAAGAGAGAUAAAUCUCUAUCAAGUGCUGGAUAUUUUUAAAAUAAUUAAAUUUAAUUUUGGUCCAUACUCAAUAUUCAUGAUUCUAGGUGUCAGACACAUUCAUAAACCAUGUCUGUAUGCUGGAGACAUGUAAUGGUCAAAAUCUGGGGGUUUGGUUGUGUUUUAAAUUUGUGAUGAGAAAUAAAGGUUGAUUUAAAGACAAUAAAGCCCAGAAAAUGCCCCUAAAAAUGGGUGUGAAAUCUAUGACAAGGAAGUUAAAAGAAGAGAGGGCUCAGGGAGAUGGAGCACUGAAAAGCAAAAAAAAGAAACCCUAUUACCUCCAUCAGAAGGUACUUAUAACUCAAAGUACAAGUCAAUCUCUCCUUUGACUGCCUUGUGCCUCACUAUUGCGCUCAUCGCUAAUCCAAACAUCAACAGAUGAGUUUGAGAUUCUGAUUCUCGUUAAUCGGGCUCUUUAAUCAUGAAUGAAACGCCCCGAGUGUUUCGGGAAUCUCAUUUUUAAUCUAUAUGAUCAUGUGAAGGAGGUGCUUUGCAUGAAAGUGUAAUAUUUAUGUCAUUGUAAUUUGUAGUUCUCCUAGUCCUACCGAACUAUUUUGGAUAAGAUAAGUUGCAAGACCCACAUCUUUAUGUAUAAUAUUUAUUCCCUUUUCAUUUCAAUAAUUUCUUAGUCUGCAAGUUUAUCCCCUUUUUAACUCACAUUCAAAGACCAUAAAGAAUGUUAUAGCUGUAAACUUGAAGGCUUCCAAAGUUAAAUGCUCCAUUUUCAUCUUCCUCAACAACACGCCCCACGUGGACGUGAUCCGAUAUUAUUCUAACCAACCAUAUCUACAUAUUUUAAAUUAAAUUUGUGCAUCUUUUGCUCAGAUUAUACUCAUGUGGAUAACGUAGCAUUCAACCUGUGCUGUAAACUGGGAUAUCGUAAUAUAUUUCUCGGCGAAUCGAACCGACGGAAUGCUCUAUGAAGAGUGGGGUUGAAGUUUCAAUAGAGAACUAUUAUUCCGGAGUCUCAAAGAAGUGCACUUAGUGCAAAUUAUGUUUCCGAACUCGAAAUCCUAGUUUUUGGGUUGAAGUGUGGAACAGUUAAUGCCUUCGUGUCCACCGUCCAUGUUGUAUUGUAAAAAUAUUGGGAGUGAUGGAGAGUCGAACCUAAGACCUCCGUCAAACUUGAGCUCUGAUAUCAUUCUCAAUUCAUCUAAAAUUUUAAAAGUAUAUUUUUAUGAAUAUAUAAUGUUCGAGAAACAUAUUGUUGGCCGGGAUACCUGGUUCAAAACCAUGAUCUAAGAAGACGGUGAUAACAAUGUCACAUGUUGUAUCCCAGUGCUUUACAGCUUACAGUAUCCAUGUUAUAAUAAAGAACAUGAUACAAUUUACAAAUAUGAACUAAAAAUGCACGACUUGAUCUCUCGCAGAAGUAAGAUCUAACAACAAUUUUUUAAUUCCAAAAAAUAUGUUGGUAAAUGAUUCCUAAGACCAUAAAAUAUGGCAAGACUCUGGCUUGGGGGAAUGCAACACGGUCUCCCACAUGUGGCAUGUGUGCUUGAACACUAGUGAUGCCAUAAUCCAAGAACCCCUGCUUUCUUCUGGACACGCAUAAUUUUACAAGCAACCACGUUUCAUGGCUCCAAAUUUUGUGAUAUUGGUUGCGGGUCGGGUCGGGUCGAAUCCUGAUACCUGGUUGCAGUUGCAGGUUGCAAGAUCACUCCUCGGCAAGUGAGACCAAAGGAACAAAAUAUGGUAUGGUGCUUGUAAGGUACAAUGUAGUUACAUAAUAUCAUUCUACGAAAACAGUCUCUUUACUUCGAGUUAGAAAUUAAAUUUUGCGGAUAUUUUAUCAAUUUUGAGCAUGAUACAAAUACAUCAGUCUAUUUUGAUUUUUAUAGCAGAACGGUUAAGACGAAUAAGGCGUGCGAUUACAAAUUUUGUUCAUUUAUCAGCUCCCAAGUUUAAGCACUUACACCAAGGUCAUGAAUCCUUGUAUAGUGAGGACCAUUUAUGUCUCAACUCCCAUAGGCACAAGUCUAAAUUUAACAAAAAGAACCUCAAAUUACUAAAUUUGCAGACAACUAUACAAGAAAUAAAUGUUUUCAAGAAUUGCACAAAAACCCUUCCACCCAUGGACCAUUGCUUUAGCCCCCAUAGACAAAAACUUGGGUUUAGCAAAAUAAAAACCCUCAAAAGUUGCAAACAAGCAAACACAUUGUUUGAUUGCAUAGUUACAAAAGGAGGUAGGCAUCUCUCCUAGACCCAAAAUCUACAUGGAAGACUCAACCAUUACUUAUACAAUAUUAUUGUAUCUAUGUUUUGAAACCCCCCUAAAGGUUUGGGGUAAUGAAGUAGGAACAUAAUAGGUUAAAAAUACACACCCCUUUUGGCUUUUUUUAUUACCUUGUCAUAAAAUUUUACAUGGCAGAGAUAAACAAGUUUAUGUUGGUUUCUUGGCACCAAGAAUGUACAACAACAAAAGACAGUGUUGUAACUUAGUUGUUGUUUUUGUUUGUGGAUUUGUAUAAGUUUUGAUCUUGGAUAUUAGAAGAAAACUGGAAUAUACAAAAGGUUAGUGCAAUUACAGGGUUCAUUUUAAUUUUUUUUGGCUUUAUUUGUUGAUUUACCCAUCUUAUUCUGAUGUAUGUGGUCAAUGGUCUGUGUGUGUGAGAGAGAGGGGGAGGGAGAGAGAUAGAGAGAUGGGAAACAUGGGAGAGAGGGGAGAGAGAGAGAGAUUGUAAUUCUUGGUUUUUGGGUACAAAACUUUGAGCUGAGGGGAAGAGAAAUACUAUAAAACUGUAAAAGAUGGGAAGAAGUUGCAUUACCACUUUAUUCCCCCUCUAAAAUAUUUUGAUCAUUUGCUGUUCUCUCCACAUACCAUUAUUUUCUACUACAAAGGAAAAAAAACACAGACACACACAUGACACCCCCCCUCUCUCCCUAUCUAUAAGCUAUACACACACAUACAUGUAAGUACACAUGUGCACACACCUUUAUGUCUACUACAUUGUCCUCUUCUACAACCAGAAUCUCAUAGUAUUACUUUCACGCAUCACUGUUGUACCCUCUCUGCUUCUUCACCCCCUUGAGCUUCUUUGUUUUCUUUCUCAUUUUCUUCUUUCCUUGAGGACCCUUUCAUAUAUCUUAUACUAUAUAACAGAGAACUUGAGCUCAUAAUCUUUGUAGUUUUCUGGUUUGACUUGUGUUUGGAAACUUUAAGAAUGCUCAGAAACUUGGAUUUUCAUCUCUUCUUCAACUGUUUCAUCUACAUUACCUCAUAAAAAUCAUUUCUUUUCAUCUUCUCUUGGCUAACCAUAUAUAAAGAUUCAAACUUUCCUUGUUCUUGGCUUGUUUAAUUGAUGUAGCUCAAGGUUUUCUCCAUUGGCUUCACUUAAACAACAAUUUGAGGGAAGCCCAGAAGUUUACUACUUGCAGCUAGCUCUUUGUUUGUGCAAUUAGUAUUGUGUAUGUAUAUGCAAGAAGUUUUGAAACAAUGAGAGAUGGGAACUGCAAGAAAAGCAAGGUUUUUUUGUUGCUAAAAUGUCAAACUUUCCUCACCAUUCAAUCAUUCAUUAAGUAAAUCUAAGUACUUGCAUUUUCUGUUUUUUUACUGCAGCUUUCAUGGCCUAAGACAUUGGUCAAGAAGUGGCUCAAUAUCAAGACCAAAACUGAGGACUUCCAUGCUGACAGUGAAGAUUUUGUUUAUGAAGGUGCUGCUCUCUUGAUCCUAUGCCUUUUAGUACUAGUUCAAUUUUAGGGGGAUUGUCUGGUGAGAUCUUGUUUUCUAGCUGGUAACUUUUGUGGAAAAACAUUUGGAUUAUAAUGGGUUGUUCUGGCAUUUGGAUUUGCAGAUUAAGAUCUAUUCUUUUGUUUUCUUCUUCUGUUUAAUAUGCAAAGAUCUUGUUUUAUUCUUCUGGGUAUUCUUUAAGAAUAACAAAAAAACUAUUUGAAUAUGUGGGGUUGAUUCAAUACCAGUUCUAUGAUACAGCUUUAGCAACUUUAUGUUUUCUCUUUUUCAGGUGGUGAUCAAGAAUGGAGAAACAAUUUCUCAGAGAAGGAGGCAUGCACCAUCAAGAAAAGCAAAGCAGGUUCACUGUCAGGAUGAUACUAUUAUUUCUUUGGACCACAAACCCCACUAGAUUUAUAAUUAAGUCGAUAGGAAAAAAUAAAUUAUGUUUUCUGUAUGUCUUUUAUUGCCCCCCACCCCCAUCUGUUAGUGAUUAAAUUUAAUCCCUGUUUUGUUUUGCACUUGACAGAUAGAUCAAGCAAGAAAAAUUCUGACAGGUUUCGACGCGGUAAAAUUGACCCUGAUGCUGCCCAAGUUACUGAUGUGAACAACUAUAGGUAUGUUAUGUUCUUGUGAUGAAUGUUGAUUGUUUGGUCUGUAUCUUCGUAAUUAGUGGUUUUAAGUAUAUUCUCUUCGAAUUUGGAUCCAGGAUAUUUGUAGCUACAUGGAAUGUGGCCGGAAAAUCCCCACCAAGUCAUUUGAAUCUGGAAGAUUGGCUACACACCUCUCCUCCUGCUGACAUCUAUGUUCUUGGGUGGGUUUUCGGUUUUCUUGAUUUUGAUUGUGACACUGCAUCUUUAGUUUAUUACCUUGUGCAGUUGUUGAGUAUCUGAUGACAUCUUUGAUCCAUUUCACAAUUAGGUUUCAAGAAAUAGUUCCUCUGAAUGCCGGAAAUGUCUUGGGCACUGAAGACAAUGGCCCUGCAAAAAAAUGGUUAGCCCUCAUCCGAAAUACUUUGAAUAGUCUUCCAGGCACAAAUGAUGGUUGUCGUACACCUUCACCCACCCCGGAUCCACUUGUGGAACUAGAUGCAGACUUUGAGAGAUCAACACAAAUAUCAUCAUCUUUCUUUAGCCGCCGUUCUUUUCAAUCAUUGAGCCGUAGCAUGAGGAUGAUGGGCAAUGAUGUGUCAAUGUCCCAACCUCGACUAGACCGUCGUUUUAGUGUAUGUGAUCGAGAUAUGUUUGGGGUGAAAUCAAGUAACUAUGAAACAAGUGUGGGGUGGAAUUGUUCCUCUGAAGAGGAAAGCGGUGAUUCCCCCUGCAGCAUUCACUAUUCUCCAAUGUCAUACAGUGGGUCUGUUUCAAUGGAUGAUGGAGAUAGACAACCAGGGAAUUCAAGGUACUGUUUGGUUUCCAGCAAACAGAUGGUUGGAAUUUUCCUCACAGUAUGGGUGAAAAGUGAUCUUAGGGAUUAUGUCCGGAACAUGAAAGUUUCCUGUGUAGGUAGAGGACUUAUGGGUUAUCUUGGAAACAAGGUAAAUUUUAUUUUCUUUAACAUGGAUCUCGAAGACAAAGUUGUACAGUAUUUGAUUACUUAAGUUGGCAAGUUUGUUCUUUUCUCAUUUACAGGGUUCAAUUUCAAUUAGCAUGUCUUUACACCGAACAAGCUUCUGCUUCAUCUGUAGUCAUUUAACCUCAGGACAGAAGGAAGGAGAUGAGCUCAGGAGAAACUCUGACGUCCUGGAAAUUUUGAAAAAGACUAGGUUUCCUCGAGUUAAUGGCUUAGGGGAUGAGAAUUCUCCUCGGACAAUCCUUGAGCACGAGUAAGGCCCUCAAUUUUCAGCUUGAAUAUUAUAUAAUCCAAUGGAUAGCAGAAGAUAUCUUUUUCUUACUUAUUACACUGAUAGCAAAUCUUUAUUACACUAUUAAUAGGUUGUGUUUGCAUUUGUGUAGUCGGAUCAUAUGGCUUGGAGAUUUGAAUUAUCGGAUUGCUCUGUCUUAUCGUACUGCAAAGGCCCUUGUAGAGAUGCGCAAUUGGAGGGCUUUGCUAGAAAAUGACCAGGUAAAUCAGGCAAAUCAGCAAGUGUCAUUUAUGAAAUAUAUCCAAUUUAUUACAUUGUUAAUUUGAAUAUCAUGUGCCAUUCAACUUAUUCAUUAUCUGAACAUUUUGAAAUAUGUAGCUUCGAGUAGAGCAGAAGAGAGGGCGUGUCUUUGAAGGCUGGGAUGAGGGGAGAAUAUACUUUCCCCCGACGUACAAAUAUUCAAAUAACUCAGACAGAUAUGCAGGAGAUGAUAUGCACCCAAAAGAGAAGCGAAGAACUCCAGCAUGGUAAUUAUUGUUUUGCGACAAAAUUCUAAAUAUAUUGUUAACAUAUCUACAGAGCACCUUAGAUGGAAAUCUUGAAGUUAAUAUAAUUACAGCAAACCUAAUCAGAAUAUGUUUAUGAAGGUGUGAUCGCAUAUUGUGGUAUGGAAGAGGUCUGCAUCAAAUGUCUUAUGUUCGUGGCGAGUCUCGUUUCUCAGAUCAUAGACCAGUUUACAGCAUAUUUCUGGCUGAGGUUGAGUCUAUAAACCAUAGUAGAUUCAAAAGAAGAAUGAGUUGUUCCAGCUCCAGGAUUGAGGUGGAAGAGUUAUUGCCAUACUCAUAUGGAUACGGGGAACUAAAUUUCUUCCGAGAUAUGGAACAAUACUGAGUGCAAGAGCAUGCAAAAUCUUUUGGACUCGUUUCAGCAGAGAUGCAACAAUAUAUCCCUUCAGGUAAUACUUUUACAAAAGCAAGCAACAAAAAUUAAUUACUUGUUUUAAUUGCAUUGUCUAGCGAUUUGUACUGAUUUAUACUGAAAUUUAAGCAAGGUUUCAUGUAAUUUUACAAUUGGCAUGCGAACUUAAUAUAAACUUUUGCCUAUAUGAAAUGAUGUUAAUAUAUACUGUACUUUGUGCCAAUCAAAAGAAUGGAUGGAGCAAUAGACUUAAAUAGAAGAUUGAUCCUUUUGCUUACUUUCCGCAUUUCUACUUCCAGAAUUUAACCUUAUUAUGAGCAUAUCCUGGAGUUGGCUUCGCAUAUACCAAAUCCUUAAAGUUCUUCUACCAGAAGUCUUCUGCAGCAUAUCAAGACCCAUCGAAGCAUGCAUUAGGCAUGGCGGUAAUUCUAGUCGAUUAGGUAAACAAAGUAACGCAAUGUUAAUUGUUCAUUACUUCUUCACUCUUUAGCCUCUCAAUAUACUUGCAGGAUUAACUUUGCCUUUCCCUGGUCUUCUUGCAGGAUGAAUAAUAAUUUGACAACACUACUGAACAAAGUAUACUGAGAUAAUGGAGGAAUAGAGAUCUAACUUUAUACUUAGAGAUGAUUACAAGAAUGUUUUUUCCUCUCCUUUUUCUUGUAAUGCAAAAAUUAGUGGAAUAAUACAAAAUGCAGUUCAAGUACAGUUUAUGUUUAUGAGCAUGAAGCUUCAUUUGCUGUUGAUGUUGCAAUAGCUAGCUUUAGAGUGGAAUCUUACUGCAGAGAAAAAGCAUUUCUGUUGUUUUUCAUUUCUCUUUGGCCAUCUGAAAAAUCAAAACUCUGAUUAAAACAGAUAUCAGCAUGCACUUACUUUGAUGUGCCAGGUUCUUACUGCAAUGUCACUAUACAUCAAAUAUGGCAAGAUAGGCUCCAGUUUCACCAUUAUCAGCUCUCAUAUAGCAUGAAGAAUGCUACAGAGUCCAGACAUUGCUCUAAUCAUUAUGCAUUGCUAAAUGGCACAUGAAAUUCAAACAAUCAAGGGAUCUUUCUGAGUACCAUCUUUUUCGAGAUUAUAAGAAACUAAAAUGAAUACGCCAAUAAAAUCAAACAUAUCCGAUAUAUCUAAAACAUAAUUAAAAAUUCAAGUUAAAUUUUCUUCUGUAUCGUAUUAAGUUAUCAAACAUAUUCAGUAUAUCUCACGCGAGAUAUUCAAAACCUAACUAGGUACAUACUUAGUAUAUCUCCUGCCUGGGCAUGCAUGGCAUUUUGAUUUCAAGGUGACUCUGAAAUGUAUGCAAACUGAAAAGAAAGAAAAGGACAUGUCAUAGUCUUACUUUUCCAAGAAAACCAUCUACUAAUUGAAUUCAAUAAGAAAAUGACACAUCAGUUCUAGCUGAACCCCAAGGCCAAAGUGACCCACAGGCCUCAGUGUUCAGGGUCAUCCUGCUCUAGUUUAGCACCAGCUGAAAUUAUUAGAGCAGCAAGAGUAAAUAAACAAAAAACAAAGUACACACUGUGUAUAAAUAAGUAGAUAAAAUGGAGUAUAAAAUAGCAAAACUUGAAAAGAAAGUGUGGCAGAGAAACAUGCAAUAGUCUAGAGGGGCUAGAAACAGAAACAUUACCUAGUUAGUUGCUGUACAAUUCCUUGAGAUUAUAUAUAUUAUAGGGGCUAAAAUCUAAAUGUUUUUUAAGAAUCAUACUGUAAAAAGGAAGAAAUAGUAGAGACAGGAGAAAUGGAAGCCAUUUCACUUCAUGUCUCCAUUUUUGGCACAUGUUUUGCUGGUUUUCUGUGUGUCAAAUUACAACUUUAGUGCUAGUACUUCGGUCAAAAGACUCUGCCAUUAGGUUCGUUUUAAAUCAAAAGCGGUUCUCGGUAAUUGGUAUACAUAAAUUAUUUUAUUGUUUUUAUUUAAAAUUAUAAUCAAUAAUAUUUGAUUGUAUAAAUAUUAAUAAUAAUGAGACUCCUUAUAUAUACAUAAACUAUCCAAUUUAUCAUGUCAAAAAAGUUUGAGAUGUAUAGUAAUAAUAUAAUACUACCCUUCUCCCUUCACAUGUUCACGACUCAAAAUUCGGUUCGAACUCGAUCAAUUAAAUAGUUAAAUCAUAUAUGUGUAUUGUGAAUCAAUUUCAAAUUCUGAAACUCAAAACGGAACCGAACUCCAACUUGUUAGAUCAGUAAAAAAUUAGAUUAAUAGUUAACUAAUAAUAUUUAUUAUUCUAGUUAAUCCUUUCAUCUUUGUAUUUUCGCUAUACCUAAAUGGCUUUUCUGAUCCAAAUUUCGUACAUUUUUCAGUUCAGCUGGUAAUAACUCGGCUAAAUAUGAAUAAGCUGAAAUGAACUCGUUUUGUAACAGAAGUACAAUCAAAUAGUUGAAUUAAACUGAAAGCCGGCAAGAAAGAGACAACAUGUUUGGAGAAUCCAAAUCAGCCAUGAAACCUUAAAGGCUGUGUGGACUCUUAAAUUACCUUUUCUUUAUUAAACAGAUGUGACAUUUGGUAAACUCCUUUUUUAAAACACUACUACUGCAGUACUAUCACUAAUAUUCUUUUAUCUGGGAAUUGAGAAUUCCUAAGUUUUUUUCUUUAUAAUUAAGUUUAAAUGAUUAAAGAAUCACAAGUGGAGAUUCUUUUCGCCACCACUUUCUACAGCGAUUUUAAUAAUCUCAACGACCAUAAAAGUCCCAACAUUACAGUUGUCAAAAUUUACAUUUGAAGUUGGGCCUGAUCUUAUUAAAAUUCUAAUCUGUGUAGGAUUUUUUAUUGGAUUGAUCCUGUAAGAGAACAAGCACAUAAAAUUCUUAAAGCCAGGCCGAACCUACUGAAAAGCCCAUAAGAAUAUACAAUCACAGUUAGAGCCCCAGUCCAACUGGUGUCCUAUUUGGAUGUACAAAAUUUAGAGUAAUCGACAAAAACAAAAACUCCAACAAUUUUUUAAGAAAGUCUAGAAAAUCCUUCAUCUGCCUUAUUUUCAAUGAUAAUAAUAAAAUAUACGUGUCUCUUUUAAAAUUUUAUGCAUUAUAAAAAAAUUGGUUGAGUAUAUAAUUUCUUGUCUAUCUUUGAUAAUUGCACUAAAUUAAAUUGAGUUGUAUGUAUAUGUAUAUUAGUCAGACAUUCAAAAUAGUAUUUUAAAGAUAUUUAAAAAUAUAAUUAAAUAACUGUUUUCAAAAGGAAAAAGUCAAUUAUAUUUUUUCAAAAGAGACAUGCAAACUGGAACGGAUAGAAUAAUAUUUUAAUAAUGAGUUGUGGAUAGGGAUUCUUGAAUAUACAAUCAUGAUUUACUCCUGCAGUCCCAUUCAUUUUCACACGUUUUUUUAUACGUUAUUUAGAAAAAAAAUUAAAAUAAAUUAUAGAAUUAUACUUUAGUGUGUGCCGUCCAUGCCAAUGUAUAUAACCCGAUGGGAGUAUAAGAUAAUUCCAGUGUUUGAUUAUGAGAAGCAGAAGUUGCUUCUGAACUUAUGUUUUUCUCGACCCAUUUGUGUUAAUAGGUAAAAACAUUCUAAAAGCUGAGAGUACUUUCUUUCAGAGCUGUACUUCUUUCCCAAAUACUUUAUUAAUGUUUUUGUUACUCACUACUAAUCCACUUCUUUUAAAAAAGAAGUUAUUUUUUUCAAACUUGUCCAAACCACCCCAAUCAACAAGUACUUCGCUCAAAAUCUAUUGUUAUUGUUUGUUUUUUUUGAAAUUGAUAUAAGAUAUAGACUUCAAGAUUUUAAUUGAAGUAAAAGUUCAGUUUUAUAAUUAGAAAUUAUAUUUUUUCUCAAAUCGAAAGUGAAAAAGCAAAAGCAAAAUUUAUUUAAAAUUAAGAGCUUAUCAUUUAAUCGAACAAACUUGAAGUAAUAUUGAGUAACAAACAAAUAAAUAAAUAUAAAAGAAAAACCUCAAUACCAAUUACGUAUGCAGUUGUAAUUAAAAAUGCGGGGCCCUGUGUUUGUGCAUGACUACUCACAUGAUCCAUCACUAUAAAGAAAAAGCUUCCAAAACUUCAUGCGAAAAACUUCAAACCCUGACGUAGGACAUUAGCUAUGUUAGAUUAACUACUUUUAGCAACCAUUUAUAUAUUUUGUUUUUCCAGGAAAUUUAAAGAAAUCACACUGAGUUUAUUAUCCAUUGUAACAAUAAUAAUUUCUUCUAUAUAUUUCUAGACAGCUGGUCCUUUUCUCUUUUAAAUUUUAUUAUUUUUAGGUAUAAUUGUUGCUGUCAUAAUUUUUUAUUCAACUUAUAUCAUAUAUACAUUUUUCCGCACUAUCCAAAUUAGGGGAAUUAUUAUAAGAAAAUACAUCCGGUGAUGGCAUUAUUUUUUUUUAUGUAUGAAAUUGUGAAUCAUAUAUUAUCAGUAGUGGGUUAAUAAUUAAUAAAAUGAAUAUAAAAUUAUAAAUUAUAUCUUCAUUUGUGAAUUGAAUAAAUAAAGUCGCCUACUGUCAUGUUAUAUUGAAAAAUUGUACCAGAAAAGAAAUGUAAAACACGAAAAAUAAUAUUUUCAAAAUGAAAUUCAUAUAGAAAUGACAGGGUUGAUAUAUGACGAUGAUGAUGGUAUUGAAUAAAUGAAGGUGUGAUGUAUAUGAUACGUAUCUUAAUUAGUUUGGGACUGUAAAAUAAUGAAAAUUUUAUUUUUAUUUUUUUGAAACGUGCAUCACGGGAUAUCAAUAUACUUAUAUAGAGGAGAAGCGUGGGGCGUGUAGAUGGCGCAUCUCAGAUCGCUCCGUUCUAUUUUUCUAAUUUUCUAGAAUUUUCGGAUGAAAAAUAUCAAAAAUUAGAACUAUCUUUUUUAGUUUUGGGUAUAUUAGAAGCAAGUUUCAGAAUCUGAUUUUGUUUUAGAUUAUUUAUGGAAUAUAAUAGCUUGAAAGUUUUAAUCUGAUUUUUUUUCAGAUUAUUUAAUUAUGGGAAAGACAAAUUAUUUAUGGAAUAUAGUAGCUUGAAAAUUUUAAUCUGAUUUUGUUCAGAUUAUUUAAUUAUGGAAAAGAGUAGCAAACAAAUCUCUCUGCACCUAUAAAUACCCGUAUAGAACGUAGGAUUUUGGAUCAUCUAAACACAACCUCCUCUCACAAUACCACAAGUUCUCUUACUCGAAUUUUAAAAGAGAAGCGAUAGGCGUGCAGGUGGCGCCUCUCAUAUUGCUCCGUUCUAUUUUUCGAAUUUUAAAAGAGAAGCGAUAGGCGUGCGGGUGGCGCCUCUCACAACGCUCCGUUCUAUUUUUCUAAUUUUCUAAAAUUUUUGGAUGAAAAAUAUCAAAAAUUAGAACUCUCUUUCUCUUGCUCGAUUUCUAACUCGGAGGUACAGUUCUUCUGCAACAAUAAGUGAAGGUUGUUUAUAUAAUAUUAAAAAAACAAAGGUUGUUGCAAGCAAAGGUAGUUAUAGAUCGUUAUAUUGGAGUCGACAAAUCCAAACAUGGGAAAAGAAUAUAGUCUUGACAUGAUAUUGAUGGUUGAUAUCAACAAGAUAAACUAUUAGUGAUGUAUGUUUGUUGGUUAUUCUUUUAUAAUAUUUGUUUUGUUCAUUAGACAUGUUUGUUGUUGUUAAUUUUUAUAUGAUUUACUUUGUAUACAGGAAAAAAUUAUUCGUGCAUUAUCUGUUUGCUCCGUUCAAAUAACUUUUAAGAGGGUAGUUAUAGACGACUAUCUCAAAGAUUUAAGUUAGAUGUUUUUGUGCACAAUCAAUCCAAAAAAAUUGGAGGAAGGUGACAAUGCAAGAACAUGAUUACUUUUUUAAAAAAAUAAAUAAAUUAAGAUUCGUCAUGCUUUAAAUUGUUAAUUAAUUGUAUAAAUUUAUUUUCAUUUUUUCACCUUGAAUUAUAAUCCAAUUUUGCAAUUUUAUAUAUUAGUAUUGGUAUUACAACUAGAUUUUUAUAAUAUAAAUUUAUUUCAUCCUACAAAUAUUAACUUUGAAAUAUUAAUAUACUUUUUAUAGACAACCACACAAUUAUUUUAUUCUACAAAUAUUAAUAUUAAAUCAUUAAUAAAAUUUUUAUAGGACGCCGUAACGCGCGGCUUCUCAAUUAAUUAUAAUAUAAUAAUGUUACCUAAAAUUUGGAAUCACAUUAAUUAUCAAUUUUCUUUCGAAUAGUUAUAUCUUAANNNNNNNNNNNNNNNNNNNNNNNNNNNNNNNNNNNNNNNNNNNNNNNNNNNNNNNNGAUUCAGACAUAUGAUCGGCCUUCUUGUUACCCCUAGGGGCCUUCAAGAACCAUGAUCACCUCAAGCCCCCACACGAGGGUUAACUCGGCAGAUAGCAGGAUUGAGGAUUGUAGAUCAUGCCCGGAUGAGCCCGGGAACUAUCAGAUGAGCCUGAUAACUACCAAAUGAGCUUGGUAACUACCAAAUGAGCUUGGUAACUAGUCUUCAUAUCCCUCGGAAGGGUCGUCACGGAGACUCACUCAUCCUCUUUCUUUCAUCAUGUAUUUCAUAACUAUGCCUCUUCUGAGUCAAAGGACGCGCCCUGAUAGGGAGGACGUGUCCUUCCCAAUUCCCGUCUUCAUCCCUGUUUACUGGACAAGAGACUGCACUCCCCGGGUUAUGUCCGGAGGAGGGCGCGUCCUCCCCUCUACAUGGUGUACAAAAACGGCUACAACACCUCGGAAGAGUCGUCGUAUCCCCCGGAGGGGUCGUCAUAUCCCCCGGAGGGGUAGGUCUUCCUAUCCCCGGAGGGGCGGUCUUCGUCUCCCUCGGAAGGGUUGUCUCAGCGAAUGUACGCUCUCCCAUAGGAAGAGCCUUCUCACAAUAUGUGUUUACAUGUGGGAGCGACCCCUGAGGGCGCGCCCUUGCCUUCGCCGUCUCGUCCCAUCGACCACUCCAACAACACAUCAGACAGGUCCUUCUUUAACAUGAGGUCGCGCCCCCGGGUAGGCGAGGACACCCCGUUAAAGGCACGCCCUUGGUCUUCAUCUCAUGGUCAACUUCUUACAAGGGACGCGCCCCCUCGGUCACCUCCGAAGAGGGCGCGCCCUCCUCCAUAGAUUACACGACGUGGGUGGACGGAGGUCGGUCGCGUCUCUCCAUCAACACUCUCAAGUAAGGCGUCCCUCCUUGUGACUCGGAAGACGCGUCCUCUUCACGCAACAUCAAGGGUCGGUCGCGUCCUCCCUUUAUAAGCAGGAGGACGCGUCCUCUUCAUGGGACACGUGUGACCUGGAGGACGCAUCCCUCCUUCCGAUGCGGAGGACGCGUCCUCUUCAUUAAGAUACGCAACAUCGGCGGAUCAGUCACGUCACGGAGGGCUGCGCCCUUUCGUUCAGACUAGUCUCUUCAAGGGUCGGUCGCGUCAUUCCUUUGUAACUCGGAGGACGCGUCCCGAUACCUCAUAUAGGACUCUUAGCCCAAUUCAUGUGUUACUAAGUACAUAUCCGGCCCAACAAGGACCUAGCCAAAUUUGGCUAUAACAAGUACUCCCCAAGUUUUCUUGAUAUUGGAGAUAUCAGGGAAAUUUUUACUCCAUACCACACAUCCUCUUCCGAGAGCGCGUCCGUGCAUAGAGGCGCGACGUAAGCCACUUCUAUUCCUCGAUAUUCCAAGAUGUAGGUUGUGCACAAGCCUUGCAUGUAUACAAUGUCGAUGUCUUUGCUCAUUUUGCAAAGUGGAUAAGCAUGAGGCUAGCGCAUCUUUAUGAUGUGUUCAUAAGUAAUGAGCAACCUUUGUGUAGAUAAAAGGAAACAGGGGGCGCGGCCUAUCUGUCGUUGACAGUGGCGCAUCUUCGCUUAUUCCUUCCAAAGGGCACAUUUAACCAUAACAUUCGCGCUAAUGAACUUCAACAAAAGAAGGGCGCGCCUUCGCUGUGCGAAGGUUUAUGGCUAUUUUUCAGCCUUACUGUGUCCAUGGUACCUAGGAAUAGUAUAAGGCGCGACUUACGGAAUGGCGCCACCUUGUUAUAACAUGACCCCUUUUUUUAUCUUCUUAAAGAAUUGCCUAAGUAGAGGGCGCGGCUGAUGGCACUGCCUUGCAAUAUAUCUUUUCUUUCAAGGACUAUAUAAGCAGAGGGCGCAGCCUUACUUGUAAUGUGGGCUCUUUUGAUCUUUUCCAAGGAUUAAGUAGAGGGCGCGGCCUUUGGCGCAACCUUACUUUUUCACGCGUGAAUCACUUGCUUAAGAAAAUCAAGAGGACCACUCCCCAGUCCAUACAUCUUCCCAUAUGGGGCAUCACGAAUCUUAUCGUGGUUUACAUAACUCCGGUGCAUCGCACAGGUCCCAGAGCUCAUAGCUCAAUGGGGAAUUAAUAGUAUAAAAUGUUAUCCAGAGCAUAUCAUGGAUAUGUAAGAUCCAGAGUGUAUCAUGGAUGCGCAACUACAGUAUCCAGAGCGUAUCAUGGAUAUGUAAAUAAUUAUAGCAUCCAGAGUAGAUCGUGGAUGACAUCCAGAGCGUAUCAUGGAUGCGCUAGUAUCCAGAGCGUAUCAUGGAUAAUUAGGUAACCUCUGAAAGGCCUUAAGUGUAUCAUGAUCAAAGACCUCGCAGGUAUCAUGCUACGUUCCUGUAGAACGGAGGGCGCGCCCUCAUCAAGAUGGACAGCUCCUUUAGCAUGUUGGACUUGCCCUGCGCUUUAUCAUGUAUAUGACUUAAUACUGAUGGUCAGUGUUACCUCAUGACGUGCCCUGUUAGGGGAAGGCGCGUCCUCCCAAAUUAUCAACCCUGGAAACAUGACUUUGGAACUCGGGGUGCGUCCAACUAGGAGGAGGCGCGUCUUUGAAGCAUCUCCCUUCUCAACCUUAUUAUCCUGGGGGCGCGCCCUCAUGCGCUUCCUCAAGUGAUGAGUACUUCCGAGAGGGCGCGCCCUAGGGAGGGACGUGACCUCUUCAAGACUAGUGAGCUCCUUCCUGAGUAUGUUUGUCUUCACAAAAUAUCAUAUGAAGCAAUUAAUGCAUCAGACAUACCAGAGGGCGCGCCCUGUCAGAGGGAGGCGCGCAAUUCGUUCUCUUGAUAGAAUACUGGUUGGAUAUGGCGUACCCCUUUAGGAGGGCGCGCCUUGUUGGAGGAAAGUGCGACUACUCCUCACGGAGAAGAGGUGUAUUCCUCAUAAAGGUAACACCAUAUUACCUGUGAAUUUAUACAUGUAGUAGUCUUAGGGAACCAAAUAUUGAGGGAGUUUAGUAUUUACCUGAGGGCGCGCCCGGUCAGGGGAAGGCGCGCACCCUUACGACUUUUCGAGCUAGGUUCCAUCUGAAUAGCUCGCCCCCCGUAACUUUCCCUAGAGGCGCGCCCUGGCAAGGGAAGGCGCGACUUCUUCGAAAAUGUUAAAGGGUGCAUCCCUCAUGGUGGUGGUCGAACACCACGUUACCUGUAGUUUUCAACGUGCCAUACUUCUAGAGAAUGCAGUAACGAGGAGGUUUAGAGUAGAGUUUACCUGGAGGCGCGCCCUGUUAGGGGGAGGCGCGCUCUUUGAAACUUUUCAAGCUUCGCUCCAUUUGAAUAACUCUCCGCUCGUAACUUUCCCUUUCAUAUCAUUAUCUGCGGUCAGGUCUUCAACACGUGCCUCUCGUGAACCUCAAAUUACUUGCUCUGGGGAGGGCGCGCCCCUUCAGAAAACCGUUGAGGCUUCCAGGGAGGCGAUCUCCUUCUCGUAAAGACUCAAACCACAACAGACUUGUUAGCAAUAACAUGCGAAAGCAUUGUGAGAAUCUUACCCGGAGGUGCGCCUUCUUCGGAGAUGUCAGGGAAUUCAUUCCUCACGGUGGUAGUCGAGCACCACAUCAUUUGGAGGUGUACCCUGUCCGGGGGGAGGUGUACUCUGUCCGGGGGAGGUAUACCUUGUCCGGGGGAGGUGUACUCUGUCCGGGGGAGGUGUACUCUCUUCGUAGGUGUUAGGUCUCCGAAAAUCGCAUCCUUCGCUGACUCCCCGGUCCAGAAUACCUUGUUCGCAUAUUAGGUUACCUCCUAGAAUUUCGUUGAUGAUCGUCCUCCUUCAAACUCCCGAUGGAGAUAUCGUCCUUUUCUGGAGAAGUAGAUGAAGGUCUCCUCUUCUCUUGUGUUCUAGCCAUCGCCCUCCCGGAAAAUGCUCCGCCUCUACGUGCGAAUCUCCGUCAUGUGACAUCUCUUCCUCCUAAGAUGAAGAUCUUGAAUAGCCCCUCCUUCUAGCGCCAAUUUGUUGAUAGAGGAAUUUGGUAAUCAACAAAGAUGAGGUUCAUGGCCGGAAUCAAGAUCCGUGACGGUGGUUUUGG
rnacentral:lncRNA from 1 species